rnacentral:lncRNA from 1 species
GGACUUGUUCAUAAAAAGUAAACCUCUGUAUACUAUAGAGGCAGCAAUGAUAAAAUUCAUGACUUUUCCUUGAUGUGUGUAAUGGAGUGAAGUAAAAGUUAUAUUAGACAGGGAAUUUAAUUACAACCUAUUUGACUUGUGCACCAUCGUCAUUAUUUCAAAAUUAGAAAAAUACCUUAAACUCUCCAAACCACAAGUCCCUCAUAUUAAUAUCUAUUUGUUUCCAUGAGUUCCAUGGCAUACCAUAAUUACUCCUCAUGAUAUCUCCAAUCCCACCAGCUGCAGCAUACGAAGGCAAAAAUCUACAAACAAUACAUAUUAAUAGUUAAGAAAUUUAUAUAGUAUAUGAAAAGAACUGAAAAUAUAUAUCUAUAUAUACCUUGUAACUCAAGGAUUAAAGUUUGCUUUCCGCCACUACUUUGUGUCUCAGAUGGAACGACAGUUUCACUUUAUCUUGGGGUUUGUGCUCCAUCGUAAACAAAUGGUUGUGAAUUAGAUGGUGAUGCUACCCCUCUUAUUUAAGAUGGAGGUGUGACGUUAGAUGUCCUAGUAGCAGAUUCAACAUGAGGAAGUGAGACAUUAGAUGUCCUAACAUUAGAUGUCCUAGUAGCAGAUUCAACAUAUAAAAGUUUAAUUUUUGUCCACCGGAUGAUGCAUGGGCUAGAAAGAACUUUGAAAGACGAGGUGCAGCAAUAAUGAAAAAUAACUUAAACAAGGUUUGUCUCACAAGGAAAAGACCAAGUUGGAUUGAUCCGAAUGUGUGGAAUACAUUAUGUGAGCAUUGAGGAACUUCAGGAUUUAAAAAGAAGAGUAUACAGGAGAAAACAAAUCGAGCAUUUUACUCUGGAGGUUUUGGAAAGCCCUUCACACUUGUGGCUCUAUCACCACAUCGCAACAUAGAGCUAAUUUGGUAAAGUUAAUUUAUUUUGUUUACAUAAAUAUGGUGUGUAUUAAGUUUUUUUGAUUAUGUGUGUUUCUGCUGCAAAUUCUAUUUUAGAAUUAGAUGGUGAUGCUACCCCUCUUAUUGAAGAUGGAGGUGUGACAUUAGAUGUCCUAGUCGCAGAUUCAACAUGAGAAAGUGAGGCAUUAGAUGUCCUAGUAGCAGAUGCAACAUGAGGAUGUGGGACAUUAGAUAGAUGCAACUUUUUCUUUAACUUUAUCUGCCAUCUGCAAUUAGUAAAAAAUAAUUAGAAUUGUUUAUAGCAUAAAUUAAUAAAGUAUAAGCCAAAAAAUAUAAUAGAUGAAUGUAAAGGGACAAGCAAGUAAAUAGAAAGAUGGAAAGUGCAAAUAAAGAAGUUUGCAAUGGGUGGGGAAAAAAAAAGACCUUCCCGACAAAUUGGAUAUAAAAAAAGAUAUAGAAAGACAAGCGGAAAUUGAUGAUUAGAGUGAGGGAUGUAAACAAAUUUGUAUAAUGGAGAGGUGGGAAUCAAUAGGGUCGGCAAGUAUACACUGCUACAAUUAAUGCAGGGGUUAGAUGAGGGUCUGAGUUAAUAUAAAACUAUAUCAUUCAGUAUUCUAUUUAUGACUUUUGUAUGUUCAGUUCUCCUAUUUUCUACUAUUACAGUUUUCAGUUCCAUUGCUGCAAGGAGUUAAACUCCAUUCCAAGAAUUAGUGUACAUUUUGCUUAACUUACAGUAGAUUUCAUAUACUUCAUCUUACUUCUACUUAAAACAAAAGUUAUGUGCAUCUAGAGAUUAUAUCCAAAUAAUGUAAAUAAGCUUGAUUUAAGACUUGAACUGAAAACAGCUUAAUGUAACCAUAUAUGGAGAAGAUUCUCAGCUUUCCAAAAUAAAUAAAUAAUAAUAAUAAUAAUAAUAAUAAUAAUAAUAAUAAUUAAAUAAUAGGCUGAUACAUAUAGCAGGCCCAAAACAGAAAAAACAAAAGUCUAAUACACACCCCUAAAAAACCAGAAAACCCCCUACAUGAACACCAGUAUAAUAGCACCAGAAGCACAACAUAUUUAGUGCAGCGUGGGCAUACAAACACACAUCGACAAGCUGCCCGGAUAGACCAAAAGAUCUAAUCUGACUAUAGUAUAGUACAUACCUGUGUCCCAAAUUGUAAGUUUUAAUCUUUUUCCACUACGGUGAGCGUUUUCAUCUUGAAAUCAACACCUACAAAUCAUCAUAUAAACAACAUUAUUAUAAUUUUCAGACAUCAACUUGUUUAAUUUUAUUUGUGAUAUUAUUAAAGGUGAUUUUGAUUUUUUGGGAAUCGGAGAAUCCCUUUAUCCUCAUCCAUGACAGAAAAUUUCAGACAUGAAUUCAGUUUUGAAAGUAUUGGAGCUUUCAGUAAUGGUAUAUAAGCUAAUCUCAAUUCACUGNNNNNNNNNNNNNNNNNNNNNNNNNNNNNNNNNNNNNNNNNNNNNNNNNNNNNNNNNNNNNNNNNNNNNNNNNNNNNNNNNNNNNNNNNNNNGAGAGAGGUGGAAGCGGUGGAGAAGAAGAGAAUGAAUCGCAGUGAGAUUAGGGUUCAAAGAGGAAGUGAAGCAGUGACAGUUUAAAGUAAGAGAAAAUCGAGUUGGGAGAAGGAAUUUGAAGGAAAAAAAAUAGGAAACUUGUUGAGUAAUAAUAUUUGAUUAAUUAUUUUAUUUUAUUUUUCUGUUUUUUAAAAGAUAAUUCAAUUUGCCUUAAAUAUUUCAACUAAGCUUAAAUAUUUCAACUAAGUUUUGUUUCUUCAUCUUCUUUAAUAUUUUUUUUAUAUUUUUUAUUUUGCAUAUCUCUCUUAACAAACUAUAUAUAAUUCAAUUAAAAUAUUUUUUAAAUAAACUUCAAUUUAAUGUACUUAUAUGUAUGAUGUACAUAUAAACUUAGUUAAUAUAUCUAACUUGGACAUCGUGAGACUCUAAAUUAGUUGAUUUGAAGAAGGGCAAAAGAAUAAGGAACUUUUUCGGUCUCUAAAGCAAUCGUUAAAAACGAAUUUUCUAAUAGUGCGAGGUUUAUGUUGGAGAAGCUCUUGUUUUUCUCUCGACUUUACGUUGGGUGAAUGAACUCAAUUCGAGUCUAGUUGAUUUUUAACUAGACUUCAAAUUGGUAGUUGAUAGUUUUCGUUCCCACAAGAAAGACAUUACAGAUACGGAGUUUGGUGAUGUUGCUCAAAAUUGUAAAAUUUAAGUAAACUUAGUGUUGAGUUUGUAAGGAUGCAAGCAAACAAGGUUGCUCACGCUCUUGCUACAACGACCGGGUUUUUAACUAGCAUCAAGAUUCUGAUUGAGGCCAACGCUCUUGCAAAGUCGUGAAUAUUAUUAACAAAUAAGAAUUUUACAAAAUAUAAUGUUGGAUUGAAAGUUUGUAUCAUAUAGAUCAUCUAUAAAUUAUUUUGAAAAAAUUGAAAAUCAGUUGAUAUAUUAUUGAUAACUUGAGACUCGUUAAGAUUGGUACGAAGUUUUCACCGCCGUUAACGAUAACUAAUCUCCAUUAAAAAAUCUGGUCUCCGAAACUAAUUUUUUGGACUAUCUAACCUCUCGCGACUCGCGGCGUAAACUGCACCACACAGCUUCACUUUUCUGCUAUUCAAAACGCAACGUAGCUGCCUAAUUACGAGGUUCAGUUGUUGUCAUUGUUGUCACAAUCUUUCUUCUAAUGCUUAUGAAGAAGAAAAGCGCUCUUAAAAUUUGUUUGCCUUCCUAAUUAAUUAUCAACGAUCCAUUCGUUUUUCAUUUUAUAUACAAUAGUCCGAUAAAUUAAAAAAUUAAAUAGCCUAACAGCACAUUACAAAUAUAAAAAAAAAUUAAAAAUUUGAUAUUCAAAUUUAGGGAUGACAAUGGGUGUCCAUAGGUGCGAGUUUAAUAUUACUCAAACUGACACCCAUAUAUUUGGGUGUCACCCAAACUCAAAUGUUGUUCGGGUGAGAAAAUGAAACUCACACCCGCACCCGCUGAGUUCGGGUUUUUUUACCCAAAUCCGAAACCCGUAACAAGAACACGCAUAAUUGAUUAUCUGCUCAAAUCCGACCCGAACUAUAUUUGAUAAAAUGCAAAAUGUAGCAUAAUUUGGUAAUAUAGUUUGUAAAUUUUAAAGGAGAAUGUUAACUUGUGCCCUUAAGGGCACAUGUUAAGAAGAUAAAUGUGGAAAAAAUUUAAUGAACUUGUAGUGUAUUCAAUUCUCUAAACAUUAAAUGUUUUCUAUCAUUAAAUGCUCUAUUUCUAUUUUUAGGUAGUUUAACAUGUGCCCUUAGGGCACAAGUUAACAUAACCCAAUUUUAAAAUUGUUUUUUUUUUACUAAACAAUUCAUCAAAUGUUAUCAUCACUAGAGCGUGUAGCCGUGCACCAGUACAACAUUCAAAAACUUAAAAUGGAGCAAAAUAUAUCGGGGUAAAUAUGUAAUUUAAUAUAUAAACGUGUUGGUGAAUUGGUUUCGGGUGUAGGUUUGAUACUACCUAAACCCACACCUAUAUAUUCGCGUGCCACCCAAACUCAGUCAACUCGAGUUUCGCCCGUUAACUUGAGUUUGAGUUUGAGUGGAUCUAUCGAAUUUGGAUUUUCCUGCCAUCCCUAUUCAAAUUCAACUUCUCUAAAAAUCUAACUGUCAAUUGAGAUACUCUUAUGCCUUCCGGCUCUUGUACAAAAAAUAAAAAUUCAAUAAUUAGGUUUAUUUAAUAAUCAAUCGGAAAAUUAUUAUUAUUUAUUUAUUUUUGAAACAAUUAUUAUUAUUAUUAUUAUUUAUUUAUGAAAAAUGAGAAAGGAAGAAAAAAAAAAGUGUUACUCGACGUGGCCAAUUUCUACUCCGAAUGCAGAGUUGGCGUGCCAUUUCUUGCCUCCAUUCCGACCAUUCAGCUUGUUUCGUCACAAAUACAAACACGAAAUAUUGUAGUAGUAAUGAAUUAAAAAAACAAAUUAGUACAUAUAAAAGAAUAACAAACGAAAAAUAUAGGAAGCACGAAGAAGAAACUCCAAAAUCAAAACAAAGCCGAGUUUCAGAGCUUCAGAAAUGUGGCGGUGCGUGGCUCGUACUAUUUCCGAUCGAUCCAAUCAAAAUCUUCAACCACUUAGAUCUCACCUUUCAAGAUUUUUCUCUGUUAGUACCAAUCACUUUNNNNNNNNNNNNNNNNNNNNNNNNNNNNNNNNNNNNNNNNNNNNNGGCGUCGUUGUUGUGCAGAGUGGUGCAAAUUCGUCGUACAAUGUGUUGGAUCAUAAAUACGAUGCGGUUGUUGUAGGUGCUGGUGGUGCAGGGUUGAGAGCUGCUAUUGGACUUUCGGAACAUGGUUUCAANNNNNNNNNNNNNNNNNNNNNNNNNNNNNNNNNNNNNNNNNNNNNNNNNNNNNNNNNNNNNNNNNNNNNNNNNNNNNNNNNNNNNNNNNNNNNNNNNNNNNNNNNNNNNNNNNNNNNNNNNNNNNNNNNNNNNNNNNNNNNNNNNNNNNNNNNNNNNNNNNNNNNNNNNNNNNNNNNNNNNNNNNNNNNNNNNNNNNNNNNNNNNNNNNNNNNNNNNNNNNNNNNNNNNNNNNNNNNNNNNNNNNNNNNNNNNNNNNNNNNNNNNNNNNNNNNNNNNNNNNNNNNNNNNNNNNNNNNNNNNNNNNNNNNNNNNUUUGCACUCUUUNNNNNNNNNNNNNNNNNNNNNNNNNNNNNNAGAGUGGUGGAAAUUCGUCUUACAAUGUGGUGGAUCAUAAGUACGAUGCGGUUGUUGUAGGUGCUGGUGGUGCAGGGUUGAGAGCUGCUAUUGGACUUUCGGAACAUGGUUUCAACACUGCUUGUAUUACUAAGCUUUUCCCAACUCGUUCUCACACUGUUGCAGCUCAGGUAUGAAAUUAAAUUAAUACUUGUUUUUAUGUUUUCAUAUGCAUAUGCAUGCUGCAUGCAUGUAUUAUUUGUUAUUUAUUUGUCUUUGAUUUAUGAUUUUCAUCUUAAUUGGUCAUUUUUGUUAUUGAGAGUCUUUUGGUUUAUUAUACUGUGCCAUAUAUAACCACUCCGUAAUAUACGUCCAAGUUAUUCUGCAAAAGAUUAAUUAUUUGCAGAUUAUAGCACACACACUCAUGAUAAGCGUUUAUGUAUAAGCUUAUAUAAGCUAUUUUUUAUAGCAAAAGAUAAAAUAAAAGAUAAAUUGUUUUUUAUAUAUGUUAUGAGCUGUUUUCAUAAGCUAUAUCGGCGAACUUAUGAAAAUAAGUGGAAAAAAACUUAUGAAAAUUAUCAUAAUAAGUUGAUAAGCUCUCCCAAACAGUCUCACAAAACUUAUGUUAGUUGAUAAGCUUAAACAAGUCAAUCCAAACAAGCCUUAAUUAAGAUUUAGGGCUCAUUUGGAUUGACAUAUUUUUAAGCUUAUGCAAAGAAACUUUAUCAAAUAAAUAAGUUUUAUGUAUUAUUCAUAAGUUGUCAAGGUAGUUUAUGAAAAAACAGCUUAUGAAGAUACAAUUUUUGUUGGUGAAAAUUGAUGAAUUAACAUAAAAACUUAUUUAUUUGCUUACGUUAUUUUUCAUAAGUUCAAAAAUAAGGCAAUCCAAACGGAUCCUUAGUAGUUGGAAAUUAGUUCCUGAAAUAUGUGGUCUUUUGUAUUAUUAGGGGUUAUAUUUGUUCCUAAACAAUGAAAUUGUGCCCAAGGUCAUUCAAUGUGUAGUUCCUUGAUCAAAUAUGUAUAUUUAGAUGGUUGAUAUGAUUCCAGUUAUUCCUGACAAAAUUUAACGGACGACUUAUACAUUCAUGGACAUGGGACAUGAUUUUGAUAUUUAGAAAUUAAUAAGACUGACUUUAAAUCUCUGGACCAAUUUGAAUAUUUAUUCUAUGAAUAAUAUAUUUAUCAACAACCAAGUGAGGAUUGUUGAUGACAUUUUCAACUUGAUGAAUAUAGUAGUACCUUAUUUGUAUUUUGUUAUCUAUCAGACGAUCAUCUUUAGAGAAAUGUUUAGGCAUGUUAUAUUUUGUAUACUAUCCAUUUGUUUGUUAUAAUAGGCUUAGUGAUGUGAUUUAUACCAUUAUUACAGUCUUAGGUUUGUUUUAACAUCAUUGUUUCAUCUUUGUUUGACACAUUGAAUUUUUUGGGAUGAAAGACACUUUAACCUUAGCUUGUGGGAUAAUGUUUUACAAUAAUGAAGCUGAAUGAUCAGCUCUUUAAUCUUUAUCCGUUAUCCUUAUGUUUUAUCUGCUUGAAUAAUAAGUUUAUGAGAUAUAAAAUAUUGGAUGGCGGCUCAAAGUACAUUAAGUUGUCAUAACUCACAACACUCUAACUUUGCCUGAAACCUGAAUAUACUGACUAUGCUCAUGCAUGGGAAUAAAAUUGCGUGCAGGGUGGUAUAAAUGCUGCAUUGGGAAAUAUGACUGAAGAUGACUGGAGGUGGCACAUGUACGACACUGUCAAGGGAAGUGAUUGGCUAGGUACAAACUUGCUCAGUCUUAGAAAAUUUAUUUUACUUAUGUUCUAUAAAAUUUUGAAUGAUUAAAAGUUGAGUAGUUUUCCAUUAUGAACAUCGUGGUGGGUAGAUAUUCUUUUAGCAUUUGCUUUUCUUUUGUGGAUGCUAAAAUACAAGCUCUGUAUUCUGCAGGAGACCAAGAUGCCAUUCAAUAUAUGUGUAGGGAGGCACCAAAAGCCGUUAUUGAGCUUGAGAAUUAUGGAUUGCCAUUUUCACGAACUGAAGAUGGAAAAAUAUACCAGCGUGCAUUUGGUGGUCAGAGCUUGAACUUUGGAAAAGGUAAAUGCAGAUUUUGGAGUAGUGGUGUUAGCUUUUAUACUCCAAGAGUUCUGAUCUUGAAUUCCUUAUGUUGCUAUUCUAUAGGUGGUCAGGCAUAUCGUUGUGCAUGUGCUGCCGAUCGAACAGGGCACGCUUUACUUCACACUCUCUAUGGCCAAGCUAUGAGGCACAAUACACAGUUUUUUGUGGAAUAUUUUGCACUGGAUCUAUUAAUGAACAGUGAUGGUAAGAUGCAGCACAAAAUGGUUUGAUUUUGAUUAGAAAAAUUUCCAGUCAAUUAAUUGAACAAGGUUUCAACACUCAUAGGAAAGGAUUUAGUGAGCUCGUAAUGAUUAGAAAAUUUCCUGCACAAUGCUGGAUGAAAAUUAUGUAGGUGAAUUAGAUUUUAUAUCCUCACUGUAUUCUUUAUGUUCAUAACCUACCGUUUUUAUUUUUUAUAAAUUAAUGUUUCAAAUUUGAUAACUAACAAUACUAGCAUCAUUAGAGAAAAAAUUCUAAAUUUUUCUUAAAAUAUAAUGCAAAGGUAAACAUUACAUACAUGUAUUUUCUUUAAUAGUUGUUCCUGCAUGACAAUGGAUGUUAUAAUAAACAGCAUGUAAUGCAAAGCUAAGAAUUCGUAUUCUUCAAAAAAAAAAAAGUUAAGAAUGCGUAGGAAUUUUGCCCCAUUAUGUUGAUAUGUCUAACUAGUGCGAAAAGAUGUAUCACAUGUUUUUUCUGCCAAUCUGAAAAAUUGAGUUAAUCAUUACAAUGUUAUGAUAGAAAGUAAAAAAGUGGAAUCAAUCUGUAUUUUAUGAAUAUGUUGGUGCUCUCAAGCGGAGUCUUGGAUUAGCCGUCAGAGUUGCUAUUGUUAAACUAGCCUUUUGCAAAUUCAAGGAAGUUUGCUUACAACAAAUGACCCAUAAAGGAUGUAACCCACCUCUAGACCCUACCACAGCAAGAAAUUUCUAGCACUAGGUUGCCCCUUACAUUAGCAAUCUAACAAAAUAGGAUUUCCUUCUCACCUUUUAUGCUAGUUACUUUGAUGAUAUUCUGACCAAAAACCUAAGCAGCAACAUAUUCUGACCAAUGUCACAUGUCACUUUUAUUGGCCAUUAUUGUGAAUCAGGCACCAAUUUAACAUUCUGUUUUAUAUAAAUUUAAGGCAACAGAUCUAUUACAUCACUUGCCCUGUUCUGAAUGUAAAUAUGUUGUCAGUUUAUGAUGCCAAUUGCUUUCUCAAACAUUUAUAGAGAUGAAAGAAAGAAAAGAAUAAAAAUAUAUGUUGUUUGUGUGUUGAUGGUAAAGUUCACUAACCUUCCAUACUGGAAAUGCAGGUACUUGCCAAGGAGUAAUUGCCUUGAAUAUGGAGGAUGGAACAUUACAUCGUUUCCAAGCUGCUUCAACAAUUUUGGCCACUGGGGUACAAGAUUCUCUUUUGCUUUUUGGAUAUCAAAUAUUUUUUAUUGUAUUUAACUUAUUAUGGAUAUAUGACUAUCACUCUUCUGUAUUAUGUUAGGGUUAUGGGAGAGCAUACUUUUCUGCAACUUCAGCACAUACAUGCACUGGAGAUGGAAAUGCCAUGGUUGCUCGUGCUGGAAUACCACUCGAGGUUUCUUUUGUACCUUGCAAAUUUCAAUAUUAAGCUGAUAUCCUAUGUAUUGAAUCUUUGAUAACUCACUUCCCUUGUCGUAUAUUCUGUAGGAUUUAGAGUUUGUGCAAUUUCACCCAACAGGUAUUUAUGGAGCUGGUUGCCUUAUCACAGAAGGUUGGUAUUUUUUAUUUUAUAUAUGGGAUUGCCUUGGGUUGCAUCCUUUCAUAUACUUUGUCUAACUAAACUAUAAUAUAAAUGGUUUCUCAUUUUCUUAUAUUUUGUAGGAUCUCGUGGUGAAGGUGGCAUUCUUAGGAACAGUGAAGGUGAGAGAUUUAUGGAACGAUAUGCUCCUACUGCGAAGGAUCUCGCAUCAAGAGAUGUAGUUUCAAGAUCAAUGACUAUGGAAAUUCGGGAAGGUCGCGGUGUAGGUAUGCUGGCUUUAAAUUGAUAUAUUUAUGUUCUGACAAAUUAUUCACAUUGAACAUACUUAUUAUUUCUAUAUUGCUCAAAGUGGAAACCAGUUUUUGAGUAUAUUGAUUUGUAUCAAGUUUGCUUUUUCUAGAAACACCCAUUCCUGACCUUUCUGUUUUUUGUAUUGAAAAAUAUUUUAUCUUCCAGUCAAGUUGGACCUUCUGUUAGCAAUGAUAAUGGAAACUGUUUGCAGGACCAGAGAAAGAUCACAUCUAUCUCCACUUGAAUCACUUACCCCCAGAUGUUCUCAAGGAAAGACUACCUGGUAUAUCUGAAACUGCUGCUAUUUUUGCUGGCGUGGAUGUUACAAAGGAACCCAUUCCUGUUUUACCAACUGUGCAUUAUAACAUGGGUGGUAUCCCCACUAAUCAUCAUGGAGAGGUACGUUGUUGAAACAAGCUGCUUAAACUUUGAAGUGAGACCUCCAAUUAAAAAGACAAGAAAGCGUAAGGAUGAAAAUAUACUAACAAUUAGAGAUUAAAAAACCAACUUAAAAUGUAGCACAAUAGUCACACUAUCCUGCUUAUUGUAGAGCAGCUGUUUAUUGUAAUACCAAAUUAGUGCUCUCUGCAAACUUGACAUGUGACAUUUUAUACAGAGCAUAUAUCAGAGAGCUUGAUAAUUAUUGGCCUUUAAUUGUUUAACUUUGAAAAGAUUGUGCCAGACUGGAUUCGGUUAUUCUAUAUUUUUAAAAUAAUUUUCUAUUUCAUUGUAUGAACAGAAAACCGUUAUGAUUAUAUAUUCAGGCUUAAGUUCUCUUCCGCAUCUUUUUGUGUUGAAAAAUUCUAUCUGUGGGGUAAAGUAUUUAUUAUAAAACAUCAGAUGAUCAGAGUUAUGUUGGUACUUGUUACCUAUUAGUUAAUUAAUUAAUGGGUUUUCUCAGAAGUCGUCAUUAUAAUAUUUUUGUGAACCAUUUUGUGUAUGUAGCAUUUACUUUAUUUUUCAGUACUACAUAAUAUCCAUCACUUUAUUAUAGUAACUAAUUUGUAUCAUUUUACUUUUAUCCGAGAGAAUCUGACACAAAUGCAUUAAUCAUCAUGUAUUACUAAUUUAGCAACAAUAUCUUCUGUGUUGUUAAUUCUGUUUUGGGCCUCGUUGACACUUCUGAAUUUAUUGGGUUACUUGUGCAGCAACAACAGAAGUUGCAAUCUUGUUAUUUGAAAUUGUUGUAUUUCAUUAUUUCUUCAAACAAAACAUGAAAAGAAAAAAAAAGAAAAAAACACUUCAGUCUAAUAUAGAGUUUUCUUAUUUAGGUGGUUACCAUUAAAGGUGACAAUCCAGAUGAAAUAGUUCCUGGAUUAAUGGCUGCUGGGGAAACAGCAUGUGCGUCAGUCCAUGGUGCCAAUAGGCUUGGUGCAAAUUCACUUCUGGACAUUGUUGUUUUUGGUAGAGCUUGUGCAAACAGAGUUGCAGAAAUCCAAAGGCCAGGCANNNNNNNNNNNNNNNNNNNNNNNNNNNNNNNNNNNNNNNNNNNNNNNNNNNNAACUUAAAACGUUUUCCAUUUUGCAGGAGAGAAACAAAAGCCUUUAGAGAAAGAUGCUGGUAUGAAAACAAUUGCCUGGCUUGACAAAUUGAGAAAUUCAAACGGGUCAUUGCCAACUUCAAAAAUUAGGUUGAAUAUGCAAAAAAUAAUGCAAAACAAUGCUGCUGUAUUCCGCACACAAGAAACAUUAGAAGAAGGUAAUCCAUUUUUAUCCAUAAUGCGUUAUACGCUUACCCUAUUCUGUCUUUCCGAAGUUGCAUAUUUAAACUUUACUUCUGUAUGUUAUCUCUCUGAAUUUCAUCGGAUGUGUGGCAGGUUGUAAAUUGAUUGAUGGAGCAUGGGAGAGCUUUCAUGAUGUCAAAUUGAAGGACCGGAGUUUGAUAUGGUAAAACAUUGUUUACCCUAUGUUACAUUGUUUCACAGUAUUUCAAGGAAUAUGCUUGUUCAUUUUUAAGUUUCUUGGUCAAUAAUCCCAGGAACUCUGACCUGAUUGAGACUAUUGAGUUGGAAAAUCUUUUGAUAAAUGCCUGCAUUACCAUGCACUCUGCUGAAGCCAGGAAAGAGAGCAGAGGUGCUCAUGCCCGCGAAGACUUCACGGUUAGUAUGCUGUAUUUUAUUAUCUUGCAUGUAAAACUGUAAAUUCACACCAUUAGUAUGAAUCACGGUGAUUGUUAAUUGAAUACUUUGUCUUAAUUUUGCAGAAAAGAGAUGAUGAGAAGUGGAUGAAACACACGCUGGGGUAAGUCAUAUUUCAAUUAAUUUGUUAAUGCAAUAGUAAAGUUGAGUUAGUUCCCUUAGGCCUUUUGAUUUUAAGAGCAUCAGAUCUCUUGUCUCUUAAAAUGUUGAAGCAGUUAUGCAUCCAAUAAACUAAGAUACAAAUUAGUGGAAUAAACCAAGUUUUCUGUCAAAGAACACGGCUAUGUUAAGUGCAGGGGUUGUUGGGUCAGCUGGCAUCAAAGAAAUACUUCUGUCCGCGCAUUACAUCUGUUUAUUUAUUUUUUUGAGACGCGUGUUACAUCUGUUAUCUAACCUUUUGUGCAUUAAUUUGCAGCUAUUGGGAAAAUGAGAAGGUCCGAUUAGAUUAUAGACCGGUGCACAUGAAUACUUUGGACAACGAGGUUGAAUCGUUCCCUCCUAAAGCUCGUGUCUAUUAAUAUACCUGCAAAUUAUUCUGAAUUACUUAUACGGAUUGUUUCACAAAGUGUGGAAUGACUAGUGCAAUUGAAAAAGUAUAGAAAAUAAAGUAUUGAAGAUGCAUGACUUUGACGAUAAUUGUUUUAUUCAUCAUCAAUGAUGAACUGAUCUAUAAUAGGGCAUUCUCAUCAUCAUCCUCAUGUUAUAAUUACAAUGUAUUUGAAGCUUAGAAUAAUAGCAAUAAAUACCACCAAUUAUUAGUUUGUUGAUAAAUCUUAACUAGGGUAUCCUGUGCUAAAUUGAUAUCUGCAUCCUUGUAGUUUCAAAAGAUCUGCCUUGUUCUAUCUGUUAUCUGUCUAACCAAACAAAAUAGUAAAUAGUAAUGGAAACCGGUGGAAGUAGUUUUGUGGAAUUAAUGCUAGCAACACAUUCCUAAGCACAUGCAUUUUAAGAAUAAUGCUAGCAACACAUUCUUUAAUAUACAAGUGGCUUGGGUUUAAGGAAGGAGAUAGUGUUGUGUAAAAAGAUGUGAAAAUAUACACAAUGAAACAAGCAAUAAAGUGAUAUUAAGGAAGGAAAUAGUAUCGUGUAAAAAGAUGUGCAAUAUACAAUUAAAACAUAAGGGAUUAUCUUGAAACGUUUAAAACAUAAGGGAUCAAUUUAAAACCUAAAAUAAAUGUAAUAGAUCAAAUAUGCAAUUAAGUCUUUAACGUAUGGUGCACAAUUAUGGUUUAAUGUUAAAUCUUCAAGUUCAAGUGGUCACAUGUGAGAUUGUUAGAUCAUAUUAAUAAUCUAUAAGUGUGGUCGUGUAAUUAGUAGAUUGACUUUAAAUAAAAGAUUGUCUUAUGUGAUAGUUGUUUUGUCUAAUGGUAAUUAAAGUCAAUAAGGUCUUAUUUUGAAGUUCAAAGUAAAUAACUAGGUACAGUACUGUCUUCUGUUUUCUAGGGAGUGGAGUAAAAAAUAAGGCUUAUUCAACUAAUCUUAUUUCUAUGCCUUAGGCAUCCAAAUCAAAGUAGCAUAAAAUUGUUCACAUAAAUAACUCUACUUUGAUAGAUUGUGUAGCCCAAAUAUUUUCAGGACUUUUAUUAUUUAUGGUAUUACUAAGACAGGGGUUAAGAUGGAUUUUGUUGAUCAUAUUAAAGAGUGGCAUUGGCUUUGGACUCUAAUAGGUAAACCUUUAGGAAAAUCAACAAAAGGGUAUACAACAGGUUGAUCAACAUCGACCAAGUUCCAAUUGUAGUUGAGGAUAAUAUGGUGAAUGAAAACAGCCAUUUCAAGUUUAGCUAACUCUAAUCCUGCACAUAGUCUUGGUCCUCCUCCAAAUGGCAUGAAAUUAUUGCUUGUGUUUGCACAAUUUCCACUUUUACUAUUGCCCUGCACCCACAACAUGAGUAUAUCAAUUAAUUUAUCAAUGGAAAAUAAUUUCACCUAAGGUGGAUAACUUUUCGGCUUAAUUCCAUUGGACUUUAAAAUUAUAAAAUGAAAAAUUCUCUUCUCCGUUUCUUUUAUCACCCUGAAACUCUAUUUUUGCCUAUACAUAAAAUGUUCGAAAAAUAUUUUUCAAACUUUUUAUAGUGUAUAUAAUUUCUAACAAAAUGAAUUUUUUUUUUUGGUACAAAAAAUGAAAUUUCUAUUAGUUUGAAAUUUGUCCAAAAGAUAAAUAAAAUCUAACAAAUAAGUAUAUUUAUCUAAAAAAUCAAACUCUUACAUAUUUUGAAACUAUUUGUUCACAUUAACCAUUUCUUGUUUUUCUUUUUUGAAAAAAACUUAGUAUCCGAUCCUAGGAUCGAUUAAUCUAAAGAGAUCAAUCUCACCGUGGAGCCUCGUUUAAAGUUUUAAAGUCAGAGUUUUUAUUUUUCCUCUGUAUGGAUUAGACCACCAAAAUUGGCACUAGAGAGAAUUGAUAAUAAUAGAGAUAUAACCAAACAAAGGAGGCAAGAGUUUCUAUUACGAUUAGCAAAGCAUCACUUGUCAAAAGCUUACAAGACAAUAUAUAAUAAUACUUCAUGGGCUACUAACAAUAAUCGACUCUGAAACUUCGAGAGAAGCACAUUGAACUAUUUAUGUGGCUGAUAAUAUACUUCAAAGACUCAAUCCAACACCACUACUAAACCAAUACAAGCGAGUUUAACCAUUUCAUAUUUUAUUUCAUAAUGCAGACUCAUGAGUUUUUUUUUUUUGUGGACAAAAGACUUCUAAUAUUUUUUUUUAAUAAAUUGAUGAAAUGAUCGUUAUUAAAACUUCAAACAUAUAGUCCGUGAACUUAGGUCAGUUGGCAGGACAUCACAUUAUAUAUGCAGAUGACCAAAGUUUAAACUUAGGUCAUCCCACUUACCUUAUGAGUAAAAUUAUAACCACUAAACUACUUAAAAAAAAUUCAAACAUAUACAAAGGAAUCAAACACUUCUUCUACCAAUUAAGUUAAGAUUUGUUGACAAUUACAAAGACUCAUAAUAUUUGUUUGGAAAAUGCUAAACAAUGCCCCCGGGGCAUUAGUUAAGGAUGCAAAAAUAGUAAUUUGGUAUUGGAAUUUGUGCAGUCAACUUCUCGAAAGUUUAAAAAGUGUUAUUUUCUUUUCAAAACUUUCUAAUCUUGGUUUCCUUAACCAGUGCCCCGGGGCACCGGUUAGCAUGACCCUAUUUGUUUAUAGAUAAAUAUAAAUUUUGCCUAAUAUUUACGUCCACUUUUCCAUCAUUUUGUUUUUUUUGUUUAUUUGGUGGUACGAUCUGGUUAAGUUUUAAUAUAAUUCCAAAAGCUUUUACUUUAUUNNNNNNNNNNNNNNNNNNNNNNNNNNNNNNNNNNNNNNNNNNNNNNNNNNNNNNNNNNNNNNNNNNNNNNNNNNNNNNNNNNNNNNNNNNNNNNNNNNNNNNNNNNNNNNNNNNNNNNNNNNNNNNNNNNNNNNNNNNNAAGUCAAAUAUAAUAUCAUUUAAUUUUUUAAUCAUGCGUAUGGAUUAGAUAUAUUCUAAAAUGUAAAUGUCAAAUUCCCUCAAAAAAGAAAACAUCAAGUUUGUCAUCAUGAGAUAUCAAUUUCAAGUUCCUCAAAAAAGAAAACAUCAAGUUUGUCAUCAUGAGAUUUUGGAUAUAUGAUUUGCUAUAAGAAAUUACUUGAGGAAAGUUGCACACGGUAUUAUUGGUUUUAUAAUUGCAUGCUCCGUCAAAUGUUGUAACAUCUAUCCAUUUAGGCGCUCUACCAGAUGUGUAGCAUUUGUCCAAUUUUUAUGUUUUAUCAGUUAGGAGUUAUUCCAUCCGUCUCAAAAUAUAAAAAAAAGUUGGUCAACAAAAGUGGAUGUAUUUGGUCUAAAUCUUUAACCAAAUAUAUUAAGUUUUUUUAUCCACUUUUGCUUAUAUUUUGGAACGAAGUGAGUACUUAGCUGUUGUUGAGUGCAAUUACACUUGUGUUAGUUAGUUUGUUAUGUACUCCCUCCGUCCCUAAUUAUAAGCACCCUUUCAAAGAAAAAAUUUGUCCUUAAAUAUAAGUUCAUUUUCAAUUCCCUAGACACAUUUAUUAUUACUUUUCCAAACAUAACGCUACUUUGUAUUGAAAUACAUAAAGUUAACUACAAAUACAUCUUUUCACAAAAAACAAUAUAGUAAUUGUAAUACUCAAAAGGUACACAUUUAUUACACUAUCAACUUUUCUAAAUAAGCGUGAAAAAUUGUAAAGGGGGCUUAUAUUAAGAGACGGAGGGAAUACAAUUGUCAUUUAUAGUAAUUAGUUAGAGAGGUUAUAGGAUUGUUAGAUAAAACUUGUUUCACAAGUUACCUUUCCUUUGUAUUCUAGUUUCACCUAUAUAUAAGUGUUUUGUGUGUUAAUAAAAUUAGGGUCAUGCUAACCACUAGUUAAGGAUACAAAAAUUGAUUACACAAGUUUCAAUGUAAUUUUACUAUAAUUAGUAUCCUUAAUUAGUGCCCCGGGGAUACUAGUUAGCAUUUUCCAUAAAUUAAUAUAGAUUCUUUCCUUUAAUCAAUUUCUGCUUAUUCAAUAAUUCACACUCUCAAAUUUUAUUCUUCAUUCCUUCAUUCUUUGUUCAUAGUGGUUAAGUGAUUAACCCCAACAAAGUUGAAUCACUCUAUUUAGUAUUAUCUAUCCAAAAUCUUUGAUCAGGAUACUUAAAGAAGGUACAAAUAUUAUAAAGAAAUAAAUAAAUAAUAUGAAACAAUAUAAAUUUGUAGAGACACUUAUAAUAAGGAAAAUGUUAAACAGUGUCCCGGAAUACUGGUUAAGGUUGUUAAUAUAGAAAUUUUAUCUUGGAAUUUGUGUAUUACCUUAAAAGAUGUAAAAAGUUAUCUUUCCAUUAUUAAUUUUAUCAUUCAUUUCUAUUUUUAGUAUGCUUAACUUGUGUCUCGGAGGCUCUGUUUAGCAUAACCUUAUAAUAAUUAAUGAGAUGAAAGAAGUAAUUUUUACAAUGAAAAAGUAUUUUUUAUAUUUUAAAAAAGUGUAGCGUAGUUAGUGUAUCACAAUUGUUCGAUUAAAAUCAAACGGAUUAAAUUUAAAUACAGUUAAAAUAUAAAAAUUCUUAUCUUUAAAUAUAAACCACCCAAUUUCGAUCAAAUAAUUUAAAAUUCACUGACUGCUUGUGUAGUUAUGAGUAGUGACUGCAUCCAAAUCCAAUGUGUGUAGUGUUGUACCAAUAUCUACGACACUAACACAUUGUGGUGAAUCUUUUAAGAUUUUACAAUGUAUCACUUUAAAUUUUAGUUUGCAUUCUUCCGGUAUCAUCUUCUAAAUUGGUUAAUAUAGGACAAAAAUUUAUAUGGCAAGGUUUAAUAAAAUGGCAAACCACCAUUUUUUAAAGUGUAUUUUGCGGUAAAUUUUAAUAUGGACCACUUGAUGAAGUGGUUCAUGGUGGAUCAGUCAUAAAUAACAUUAUAAUGAUAACGAAUACGAAUUUUAUAAAAUUCACCGUUGGAUUAAAAGUUUAUAUCAUAUAGAUCAUCCAUAGAAAAAUUUAAAAAAAUUAAAAAUCAUUUGAUAUGUUAUCGAGACACAUCAAGAUUAACGGUUUAUUAAAUAACGUAAAUCUUGAUGGGUCUCAAUAAUAUAUCAAAUUAUUAUCAAAAAAAUUUAAAAAAUUUAUGGAUGAUCUAUACGAUAUAAACUUUCAAUCUAACAGUGAAUUUCGUAAAAUUCAUAUUCGGUAGAUCACUUGUCCACGGUGGACCACUUGUGAAGGUGAUCCACCGUAGCAUUAGCCUUUGCUAUUUUUUUAUUAGUUAUUUUCAUCCUCAAAUAUAUUUUUAAAUAAUCAAUUUGAUUUUUAAAUAUAUUUUUUGUUAGUCAAUUUAGUAUAUAAAAAUACUAACAAAAAAACACUAAAAAACAUACACACAUGCAUGUAUAUACUCCCUAUGUCCCACAAUGAGUGAGUCAGUUGAUUGCGUCAUGCAUGCUAAUAUAUAACUUUGACGAUUAAUAUUUUUAAUUAUAUAAUAAUAAUAAAUAAAAUUAUAAUCUUUUAAAAAUACUCAUCAAAAUGAAUUUAACAACAUCUUAUAUACUAAUAUUUAUUUUUAUUUAUCAGUAAAAAAAUAAAAUCAAAACAAUAUAUACGAAUAUGCAUAUAGCCAAAAUGACUAAGUCAUUUUUCGAACGGAUGGAGUAAUGUUUUUAGCAAAUGUGGCUANNNNNNNNNNNNNNNNNNNNNNNNNNNNNNNNNNNNNNNNNNNNNNNNNNNNNNNNNNNNNNNNNNNNNNNNNNNNNNNNNNNNNNNNNNNNNNNNNNNNNNNNNNNNNNNNNNNNNNNNNNNNNNNNNNNNNNNNNNNNNNNNNNNNNNNNNNNNNNNNNNNNNNNNNNNNNNNNNNNNNNNNNNNNNNNNNNNNNNNNNNNNNNNNNNNNNNNNNNNNNNNNNNNNNNNNNNNNNNNNNNNNNNNNNNNNNNNNNNNNNNNNNNNNNNNNNNNNNNNNNNNNNNNNNNNNNNNNNNNNNNNNNNNNNNNNNNNNNNNNNNNNNNNNNNNNNNNNNNNNNNNNNNNNNNNNNNNNNNNNNNNNNNNNNNNNNNNNNNNNNNNNNNNNNNNNNNNNNNNNNNNNNNNNNNNNNNNNNNNNNNNNNNNNNNNNNNNNNNNNNNNNNNNNNNNNNNNNNNNNNNNNNNNNNNNNNNNNNNNNNNNNNNNNNNNNNNNNNNNNNNNNNNNNNNNNNNNNNNNNNNNNNNNNNNNNNNNNNNNNNNNNNNNNNNNNNNNNNNNNNNNNNNNNNNNNNNNNNNNNNNNNNNNNNNNNNNNNNNNNNNNNNNNNNNNNNNNNNNNNNNNNNNNNNNNNNNNNNNNNNNNNNNNNNNNNNNNNNNNNNNNNNNNNNNNNNNNNNNNNNNNNNNNNNNNNNNNNNNNNNNNNNNNNNNNNNNNNNNNNNNNNNNNNNNNNNNNNNNNNNNNNNNNNNNNNNNNNNNNNNNNNNNNNNNNNNNNNNNNNNNNNNNNNNNNNNNNNNNNNNNNNNNNNNNNNNNNNNNNNNNNNNNNNNNNNNNNNNNNNNNNNNNNNNNNNNNNNNNNNNNNNNNNNNNNNNNNNNNNNNNNNNNNNNNNNNNNNNNNNNNNNNNNNNNNNNNNNNNNNNNNNNNNNNNNNNNNNNNNNNNNNNNNNNNNNNNNNNNNNNNNNNNNNNNNNNNNNNNNNNNNNNNNNNNNNNNNNNNNNNNNNNNNNNNNNNNNNNNNNNNNNNNNNNNNNNNNNNNNNNNNNNNNNNNNNNNNNNNNNNNNNNNNNNNNNNNNNNNNNNNNNNNNNNNNNNNNNNNNNNNNNNNNNNNNNNNNNNNNNNNNNNNNNNNNNNNNNNNNNNNNNNNNNNNNNNNNNNNNNNNNNNNNNNNNNNNNNNNNNNNNNNNNNNAAAAAAACGGCCCAAGCCGCAAGGCAACUACCUUAUGUUCAUUAAUUAAACGGCCCACACCUACUCAAAAAUCAAGAUGUUUUCUCUCCUCACCUCCCGUGAAUCUUUUAUGCCCCACAAUAUUCUAAUUUUGUCCUUACAGAAAAAUUUGGUUCGCAGAAAUCGAAUUUUUACUAGUGCAAAUUCAAAGUAAAUUUCGGUUUUUAGAAACCGAAAUUUGUUUUCAAGAUAAAAAAAAACUUCGAUUUCUACGAAUCAAAAUUUUUUCAAGGACAAAAUUGGAAAUUCAGGAGAUAAAAAAUUCACGGGUGUGGGGAGAGAAAACACCAAACACCAAUUCAAGUGCUUGGUAAUGGGGAUGAGGACCUCUGCUUAAUUAGUUCUAGUUAAUUUUUUUUCCUCUUCUCUAACCAAAUUUUUAGUGGACGUUGUGACUUUAACUUUUUAUAAUUCUGAUAUGAAUUUUUGGCGACUUUGAAAUCGUUAGUUUAAUUGUGUUGAUUUCACUAAAUAGAUGAUUUUUAUUAUUUUUUAUAUUUUUAGGAAAAGAAAUCAAUGUGUUGAUAAUUUUGCUAAUAUUGGUUUGCAUAUAUUCCCGAAUUCUAAUGGUGGGAUACUACUAUACCUCAUAAUAUAUGUAAUCUUUUUUCUAGAAACAAAUUUUGCGCUUCAUGAAUAUAGAUUUUGCUAAUUUUUGGAGCACUACACUCUUUUUUACUUCACUUUGUUUUUCCUUUGGAUUUUACGUGUACUCCCUCUGUCUCAAAAUAUAUGCAAAAAUUAUUUAAUAAAAGUGAAUGUAUUUGUUCCAAAUUUUUAAUCAGAUACAUCAAAAUUCUUUGACUCAUAUUUGCUCAUAUUUUAGGACGGAGGAAGUAAGAUUUUUAAUGAUGCGGUUAUAAUUUGUUUAGCUCCCACUUGAGUUUUGGUCUAGUUCCUCCAAGUUUUAUAUACCCCCCACCCCCUCUUCUUUUUUUUUCUCACUUUCACUUUUAUAAUAUUUUUGUGAUAACUUGCUUUUUAAAGAUAAUUAAAUAAAGGGAUAUCAACAUAAUUGGAAUGUAUGUAUUUAUUUAUAUUAUUUGUGUGAUUACUUUUGCUUAAAAGAAAAAACCAAUUCUUUAAACCUUGGCUUUAAUUAAGUGCAAUUAAGAACGGUUAUAACUUAUAAGUAGAACUUAAUUACCUGCCAUCUCCAUGGAUUGAAGUGUUGAGGUUGGUCAAAAUUUGAAGGAUCCAAAUGCACAGCUGAAAUCACUGGAAGUACUUUCCAUCCACAUGGAAUGUCAUAACCUUUCAAACAUAAACACACAUUUUCAAUGCUCAAAAUACGGGCAGAGAUCCUCUCCGAUGAAAAUUUCACUCAGACGAUUUAAUGUGUAUCUUCACCAUUCAAUACAUUUUUUAUUACAUAAUUAACUACGACAAAAAAUAAUGGAUGGUUGAAAUUAAACCGCAAGACACUUUAUGAGAGAUCAUUCACACCCUCAAAACACUUUCCACAUUUUACUAUAACAACACCUUGACCAACCUUUCCUCUUUCUUUUUCUUUGCAUACUAAAAUAAUUUUCCAAUACCUUUCAACCAUAAACAUCAUAUAAUAGUGUUGGUGUUAAAUGACAACCAUCACAACAACUUGGUAACACUUUAAAUAAAAAUAACCCAAAAAAUUAGUUAUGUAAAAUAAUUUAUUGAUUAACUCAACUAGUUUGAACUAAUGGCUAAAAAAGUUAAAUGACCGGAACUCGAAUUUGGAAAAAUAAGAAAAAUGCUAAUAUUAAAAAAAAAACUAAAUACUAGCAUUUGUUUAAAAAAAAAUAAUUAUAAACAUAAACAAAUAGUUACAUUGUCCUCUUCUACUUACCUUUGUACUGAACAUCUUUGAUAGCCUUCCUGUGAAGGAACCUCACAACAUUUCCCAACCGUAGUGUUUCAUUCACAACCUUUUCAAAUAAAAGACAAAACAAAUUGCUUAAUAGUAUAGUAGUAUGUUUUUAAGGUACAUAGAGUUUCCUUAUACUAAUUAAAUUUAUUUUAAUUUAAAUUUAUUUUAAAAUAAAUUAAUAUAAAAAUAACAUAACAUUUAAUUUUAUUACUUUUGAAUCCUCUCCAGGUUUUUAUGUGCAAGCUUCUCUCUCAUUUUCUUAAUUUAAUGGUUGAUUGAGCUACAAAGAUGAAAAGAAAAGAGAGAAAGUAUUGGAUGAAAUGGUCAAGAUUAAGAUAACAUGAUGAACAUGAGAGAAAUUGUUGGAGAGAAUCAGUCUAGUACUGAUAUUCAACAUAACUUCAGGGUACGAAAGUGUUAUUUUUUGUAAUAGUAUUAAAGUAUAAGAGUCUUGCUAACGAGUGUCCCAGAACAUUCUUUACAUUUCUAAUGUGUUGACUUCACACGUUUUAAUAAAAAUUUCACAAAAAAUUACUAUUUAACAUGAUCAAAGAGUGUCCUGGAGUCACUCGUUAGCAUUUAUCAAAAGUUAUAAAACAAUAAUUAUGUGACUUACACAAUGAGUAAAUUCCAUUCUUUUAUAAUCAUCCCAAGUUAAUCCAACCUCCCCUGCUUUCUUCUUGGAUCUGGCUAUUUCUCUAUGUUCUUCCUAUCAUUUUUCAAAAAAUAAAAAAUAAUAAUUAGUAUAUAAGUAAAGUUUUGCCCCCGGGGCACUAGUUAAACAUACUAAAAAAGGAAACGAAUGAUAAAGUUAAUGAUGAGAGAGAAUAACUUUUCACAUCAUUAAAACAUUAAAUGCACACUUUACGAGAUAAAAUUUCUAUAUUUGUAUCCUUAACUAGUGCCCCAGGGGCACCGUUUAGCAUUUUCCUUGUUUUAUUAUAGGUACAUGUUACAUAGAAAAUUUCCACGUAUCAAUGUGUCACUAGCUUACCCUUAAUUGAUGUAUGGCUUGAGGACAACCAGGCAAAAAAUAAAUAGCUAGAGAUAUAGCUACACAUGAAGUUUCAUGUCCAGCAAAAAGCAAGCUCAGAAUCAAGUCAAGAAUUUGCUCAUUGGAAAGAUUUGAAUGCUUUAGAACCCAAUUUAGAAGAUCAUUUUCUUCCAACCCUUUUUUUCCUUCUUGGUUUCUCUUCCUUCUUUCUUCCAUUUUCCUCUCUAUGAACUUCAAUAUGGUAUUCCUAGACUGUAAAACAAUAUAAUAAGCUUAAUAUUUAAUAAAUAAACAAAUGAUGCAGUUAAUUUCAAAAUUUGUUAAAAUAAGGAGACCAGAAAUACUGAUUUUAAAAUAGGAGACCAAAACUACGAUGAAGCCAAAAAAUCAUUAAUAAAUGAGGUUUUCUAAAUUAUUUCGUGCAUGUUUAGAUUACGGUGUAUUUAGUAGAAAUAUAGUAUGUCUACGCGAUUUUAGCAAAAACUAUAUUUUAUAGAUUUAAUAAAAUCACGAUACUAUUUUUUUUUUAAAUAGUCAGAGUCAGUAAUUAGUUGCUAAUAAAAUUACGCUGCUAUUAUAGUAUAAUUUUGUCAAUUUCACUGCUAAUUUAAAUAAACAUUAAAUAAUAUUUAUUUCUUAUUACCUUUAAUGCUUUCCUGUAUGCAGUUCCUGGCAAAUUUAAAGGAGCUGAAACAACACCUUUCAUGAAAGAGACAUACUCUUUUUUCAACUGUUCUGUCUCAAGAUUCCCUGGAUCCAAACUCAUAAUUUGUUUGGCCAUCAAAUUGAAGGUGAACUUCAUGCAUUUAAAAGGAAAAAAAAUAUUAGAAUAAAUAAAAAAUAUAAAAAUUUGACAAAGAAAAAAUAAAUGUUACCUUUUUUGCUUCACCUUGAGCUGAAAAUGUACAAUUUUGUUUCCAAGAACUUAGAACCAAAAGAGUGUGAUUCUCUAUAUCUUUCAAAAAAUGUGUUUUAAGCCUAGCAUAGCUCAUAAAGUUUAGUGAAAUAUUCCUCAUGUCCCUAUGCAUGUCACCUACUAAAACCAACAUUGACCAUUUUCCAAGUAUUCCACCAAUGCUUUUAGGAUAGCUACACUCAAAUAAUUUUCCAUCAUUUUGUAAUAUGAAUUUGUUAAAUUCUGCAUCUGCUGAUACAAUAGCUGGUCCUCCAAACAAUUUUGACUUGUAAAUUGUACCAUACCUUAACACAUAGGACAAAUUUUAAAAAUAUAAAUUUUAGUACUUUUUUUUUGUUUUUCAUGAAAUAUAAAAUGGGGGUGCUAAUAGUAAUAUUUACCUUGCUAUGUGAUUUUCCAUAAAUUCUCCCAUUGUGGUAGCAGAAUAAGGCUUCAAAUAACCAAUGGUUUCUCCAAUAAAGGGCCACCCCAUUUUUCCAGGUGGAAGAUUAAACUUUGUUUUUUUUCUUUUGAUGAAAAAAAUGAAGAUGAAAGUGAGAGCAAGAAUGCAAGAAAGAAAACAGAAAAUUAUGUGUGAGUUAGACAUGUAGCUAGAUAGCUUAAUUUUUUGAUUAUAUUUUAAUUCUCUUAAAGGUAAAAAAAAAGAAGAAACUUUGUUGCAUGUGAAAUUUUGGCAAAAAGAUGAGAAAAAGUUUUGCAAGUGUUUGAAUGGAAACAGAGCUAAUGGAAUUGUGAAGGCAAAUAGGGUGCUUUUAUAAGCUUCCCUUCUGUCUUUAUGCAGAAAAGAAAUAGCAGAAAGUAGCCAAGAAUUUGGCUUUAAUGCAUAUUGGUUAAGCAUGAUUUUAAAUUGCAGAUGUGAUCGCGGGUGCAGUAGCAGUUGUAAUCGUUGCGAUUGUGGUCAUCGCGAUUACAGCAGUGCUAUAUGGCACGAGAGCCAUAAGCACGAUCCAUGCACGACGACAUUUCCCAAUGCAUUUUCUACACUUGUCUCUUGAUUAUUUAUGUUAGUUUCCUUUAAAAAAAGAUAUGAUCUUACUAUCGUUUUUUUUUAGCAUAAAUUGAUUUAGAGUCCGUUUAUUUUUGAGCUUAUACGAAAUACACAUAAAUAAGUUUUUCAGGGUAGUUUAUAAGAAAAUACCUUAUAAAAAUAAUAUUUUUGUUAGUGAAAACUUAUGAAUUAACUUAAAAAUUUAUUUAUUUGUAUAAGCUAUUUUCAUAAGUUCAAAAAUAAGUCAAACGCUAUUUGAAAUAACAUCUAAAAAAAUGAUACUCCCUCGGUCUCGAUAUAAUUGUCACAAUUUGACCGUGUGCACUAUUCAUAUAAGCUACUUUGACUAUAUUUUUUUACUAAUGUAUAAAGAUAAAUAUUAGCAUAUGAGAUCUUGUUAGAUUUGUCUCGAUGAGUACUAUCAAAAUAUCAAUUUUUCAUAAUUUUUAAUAAUACACAACAAAAUAUAUUCACGAUCAAAAUUAUACAUCGGCAAAUGUGCAGUGGUAAAAUGUGACAAUUAUUUCGAGACACAGGGAGUAUAAGCUAAUUAAAGAAAUUCGUUACCAAACACAUCUCAUUUUUAUCAAACAAACUUAUAAAUUAAUCCAAUAAACUAUAAGAUAACUUAUUGGACUUACCAAACAGACACUUAAUUUAUUUUUAAACAAAUUUCACAAUAUUGUGCGUUAGAUUUGCUAAAAAUCAGAGGACUGAACUGGACAAAUGUUGUUGUACCUUGUUUGAUUUAGAAACUGGUUAUGAGACUGGACAAAAUAGGUAACAAGGGACAUGACAAAAACAAGAAUUUUUGUCCCCUACAAAACUACUGGACAACUUUUUGUCCAUAAUAAUACAACUAUAAAAAAUACGAAAAUACUCAUUUUAUUUUCAAAAAUAAAAAAUAUUAUAGUCUUAUCUCUCCGAUAUAUGUUUGUCUUGUCUUGCACUAUCUUAUUUUGUACUGUUCUGUAUUGUAUUGUUAUGUUUAGUACUUAUUAUUUUACGAAUCAAACGUACCUUAAAUCGAUAUCAUCAAGCUUUUAGUUACUUACUAAUUUAAUAAAAAUAUACAUAAUAUAAAUCAAAGAAAGUGCCAAAGUAAAAUGUGUGUUAUUAGAUGGUAAAUACACUUCAGUAUAUGUGUGGUCGUGCGCGAGACGACAAAUUGUUGUCGUGCAAUCAAGCAUUAUCCAUAUUAAAAAGGGGUUAAGCAUUAACAAAAAGAGUUUGCAAGAAAAUAAAAAGAACAAAAAAGUCUCGAUAAGGCUAACCAAGUCAACUUCUAACCCCUAAACAAGCUAAAGGACUAGACCACCACAAGUUAUGUUGGUAUUUCAAGUGUGAGUUGAGUCUCACAUCGGAUGAAACCGUGAAUGUUGAAUGAUUUAUAAGUGAGAGGACCAUAAACCUAACACCUUAAGGUUUUGGGUUAAAGUGUGGUGUCCAACUCACUUAUAUAAUUGUUCAAGGCCCGAUGUGAUGAUCCCCCGGACCCCCUCAAGACCCAACAGUGGUAUCAGAGCCGAUGGUUGUUGAUCCGGCUCCUUGUGUCGAAAGUCUUCCUGACAAGGUGUUUAGGCGGCGUGUCCCGUUGAGGCCAAGCAACGGCGGUACAAGUGGAUGAGAAAAAGCUUCCGUUCGAGGGGGAGCAUGCCCAUAAAGUAAUGGAUGAACUCACACUUGAGGGGGAGAUGUUGGUAUUUCAAGUGUGAGUUGAGUCCCACAUCGGAUGAAACAAUGAAUGUUGAAUGGUUUAUAAGUGAGAGGACCCAUAAACCUAACACCUUANNNNNNNNNNNNNNNNNNNNNNNNNNNNNNNNNNNNNNNNNNNNNNNNNNNNNNNNNNNNNNNNNNNNNNCCAACUCACUUAUAUAAUUGUUCAAGGCCCGAUGUGAUGAUCCCCCGGACCCCCUCAAGACCCAACAAAUUAAAAUCAUAAUCAAAGUCAUGCUUACGGUUACGGAUCUUCAGCCACCACCACUAAGAAACAAUUUUCACCAUGCAUGUGUUUAAAAUCACACAACAAUUGUGAUGCAAUGUUGAUGUAGAUGUUACUUACUGCAUCACAAUAUUGCACCCACAACUAUGCGUGCGGACAACUUGAAAUCAUCAAGUUUUUUUAUUUUUUUUGUCUACAACGGAGUUUAAGGAUCGAACUUAGGUUCUCUAACAUACUACUAAAACUUAGACAUGACAAUAUAACCCAUAUCCGCAGGUACCCGCUCCGAUUUUGAUGGGGAAAAACUGAAUUGGCUAAGUUNNNNNNNNNNNNNNNNNNNNNNNNNNNNNNNNNNNNNNNNNNNNNNNNNNNNNNNNNGGACAUUGAUACCCACCCUGAACCCGUCCCCAAACAUGUCCCACUUAUAUCUAAUUAUAUUUUACCUCUCUUAAAUUAUAAAUCCUUAAACAAAGUAUCAAAUUAUAUUCAUAUAUAUAUAUGUUUGUGUUUAUUUUUAAGUUAAAUAAAGUUGUUUUUCUAUUUAUAUUUUUUGCUUAAAAAAAUUAUACCGUUGAAACAAAAUAGUUUUAAACUUUUACCCCUUUCUUAAUAAAAAAAAUUAUCAAAACUCAACCAACUUCAUAUGGAAACGGAAACGGCGGAAUGGAGAUAUAUACCCAAAUCCCANNNNNNNNNNNNNNNNNNNNNNNNNNNNNUUGAGAAUUCAGACGGGUUUGGAGAAACCUGAACUUUAUAGGUUUGAGUUUGGAAAAGAUAAAAUUCGUCCCCGAUGUCUACUCAAACUCCUCACCACUUGAUCAAAUCUCAAACCCUUCACCACUUACCAAAUCUAGUUGCUUAAACUAUCAAGUUAUUAAUCCGCAACGUUUUUACCGUUCAAUCCUUUACUUAUGGCUAAACACAAUUUAUCUAAAAUUGGAAAUAGAGCGUUAGAUAAUAAGUUAUUGGGCUUAAGAUAUUGAGCCCAUUAGAUUUAUGAUCUUAUGUCAUGCAAGGACAAAACAAUACACAAAUUUAUUAAUUAUAUUUGUCUUUUCAUUCUUUCUUUUUUUUAUCUUAUGUCUUUGAUAAUAGUGAGAUGUUGUAUGAGGAAAAAACAAUGAAGAAGAUGAAGAACUUAGUGUUCUUAUUUUUUUGGAAAUUGAAGAUGAAGAAUUCACAUGAACAAGAUGAAGAAGAGGAAUUUAGUUUUCAUCCAACCACAAAAUGACAUGUGUAUAUAGAGUUUAAAUUUUUUUACAACUAACUAAAAGGACUAACAUGACUAAAUGGAACAACAAUGAAUUAAGGAACCAAAAUGAGAGAAAUACUUGUAUGGACCAUACAAGUAUUUCUCCCAAAAUGAAACCAAAAAAUAAAUUAAGGGAUCAAAAGAGUAACGUGGCCUAAUUGAAAUGAUAAAUUGCAAGCUUUAUUAUUGCUCAAUGUCAUGCCUCAUAAUUAGGAAGUUCUUGUUGUGAGACUGGUUAAUUUAAGGAGAGAGAUUAAAAUUAAGAGAAAAAUAAAAAGAAAGAAAAGAGAUAUAGAGGAUUAAGAAAGAGGUGAUCCAAAUGUUAUGACAUUGCUAUAAAUCAAUUAAUUAUUAUGGAAUAGUUACUUUUUGACUUGAAUAUUUGAGUUGAAUAUUAUGUACUUAGCGUAUACUCCUUCUGGUCCUAAAUAUAAGAGAACAUCUACUUUUUAGAUAUAUUGAGAAUUCAAUAUAUCUAGCCUAUAAUAUAGACUAAAUACAUUAAAUUCUCAAUGAAUCUAAAAAGUAUAUCUCCUCUUAUAUUUAGAACCGGAAGGAGUAAUAAAUGGAAAAAAUUCUCUGCACUUUUAAUUUAAACUGUGGGGAUUUUGGGGGAUCAUGUCCAAUGUAUAGUAGUUGUCAAAAAAAUUAUAUUGUCCAGUGUAUAGUACGUAUAGCAAAAGAUAGAAAGCCAUGCACCUGCCACAUUUCAUUCAAUUUAGUUCAAUAAUAAUGUUCUGGUCCACACUACACAAUAUAUAUAAUAUUGCAUAUUUUUUAUAAGAAUUAGUUUGACAAAAUCGAGGUAUUAAAAUAGUUGGUAUUAGUAUUAAGGUUGUCAGAACUGGACCGGUCAUCGAACCGGCGAGCUCACUGGUUCAAGGUUCAAUUGGUCGGACCGGGUUCAAUCGGGGUCGAAUCAUUUUUAAUUAAAUAUAUAUUUUAAUUAAUAUAUAAAUAAAUAUAUAUGAAUAAUUGUUGAAUAUUUCAUAAUUUCACACAUUAAAAAGAUAAAAUGUCACAAGUCAAAAUAAAAUAAAAUUUAUAAUUCAANNNNNNNNNNNNNNNNNNNNNNNNNNNNNNNNNNNNNNNNNNNNNNNNNNNNNNNNNNNNNNNNNNNNNNNNNNNNNNNNNNNNNNNNNNNNNNNNNNNNNNNNNNNNNNNNNNNNNNNNNNNNNNNNNNNNNNNNNNNNNNNNNNNNNNNNNNNNNNNNNNNNNNNNNNNNNNNNNNNNNNNNNNNNNNNNNNNNNNNNNNNNNNNNNNNNNNNNNNNNNNNNNNNNNNNNNNNNNNNNNNNNNNNNNNNNNNNNNNNNNNNNNNACCCGGUUCGAUCCCGAUUCACGCAUUUUUUUGCCGGUCGGUUUCCUAUCCGUUUUUUGCUCAAAACCGAACCGUUUUCAUGACCGGUUCACGGUCCGACCGGUCCGAUUUUGAUAACCUUGAUUAGUAUUAAAUUAGUUGACAAAUUAUAUUGAUUUUCAUGUUUACCCCUAUAAUUAAUUGUAGUGCUUUGUACUCCCCUCACUUGACAAAUACUUAAAUUACACUUCUCUUACCUCUUAUAUUAAAAUAUACACUCCCCUCUUAUGCAAAUUAAAAUCUCAUUUCCCUCCCUUAAGAGAUGCUUAAAUUACAAUAUCCUCCCCUCUUAUGUUAAAAUAUACACUUUCCUCCCCUCUCAUAUAAAUUAAAAUCACACUCCUUUCCCUUGAAAAGAAGCUUGAAUUUCAUUUCCCUCCCCUCUUAUACUAAAAUUACAAUACAUAUAAAAAUAAACAAUAAUGUUAUGUAAACACAAAUUUUAAACACAAAGUUGACAAAUAUACUAUUUUACAAUUUUUUAAUCUACUUCGGUAUGCAUGCACAAACUCAAUUUAUCUAUUAUGUCAAAUACGUGUUUGAAAAACUGUGUUGAAAUAACACAGCUCAAAAAUAAAGGCAAAAAAGUUCGACUUAAAAAAACGGUCUAUAAAAUAUGAUUCACAAAUUAGCUUUAAAUUUAUCUUAUAACUUCUUAUAUAUGUCGUGCUUUCAAAUUUUUUUUUUUUAUUAAUUUAUAUUUUUAAAUUCAGUCCCCCUUAAACUAAAUUUCUGGCUCCGUUGUUAUGUAGCCCCAAGCAACUACCGGUCUUUUAUUUCUUUGACAGUUGACACGAACGAGGUGUUUUGUACUGACAUAUGAAAGGACUGAGUUUGUUGUACCAGAAGACCAGCAUUUAGUAUUCAAUUGAAACUUAAACAUAUUGAGAACAAAAGCAAACAAAUUAAGCUUCAAGGUCCAAACUUCAAAGAACAACAGGUGGGUGAAGUUCAUGUGUAAGUGUGAUGGAUAGAAGUAAGUAUUGAAGAGAAUUAAGUGCAGAAAAAUAAUUCAGAAGUAUAUGUAAUAGUUAUUUUGAUCUCUAAAUAUGCAUGAUAUUGCCACUAUAUAUCAUUUUAAAAUUAUGGAAACAUCUUUGACUAAAUUUGGAAUAGGAUAAUUUCCUGCGCUAUCCUCCCUCCGACCAUAAUUAUAAGCAAAUUUUCAUUUUUCAGAUUUAUUAGAUAACAAAUGUAUCUGGUCUUGCUCUCAAAAAUGUAUCUGGUCUAUAAUAUAGAUCAGAUAUAUUAACUAUAUAAUGAAUCUGAAAAAUAAAAAUUUACUUAUAAUAAAGACCGGAUGAAGUAUCUAUUUAGGGGCUUUUUUGCCCUUAAUCCAACGGAUGAUAGAUAAAAUAUAUAAAAAACAAUUUUAAAGAGGAAUAAACAAGGCUUCACAAGUGAUCCAUCGUGGACAAAUGAUUUACCGAAUAUGAAUUUUACAAAAUUUACUAUUGGAUUGAAAGUUUAUAUUGUAUAGAUCAUCCAUAAAUUUUUUAAUUUUUUUUGAAAAUCAUUUGAUGUGUUAUUGAGACCCAUCAAGAUUUACGUUAUUUAAUAAACCGUUAAUCUUGAUAUGUCUCAAUAACAUAUCAAAUGAUUUUUAAUUUUUCUAAAUUUUUUUAUGGAUGAUCUAUAUGAUCUAAAUUUUCAAUUCAACGGUGGAUUUUGUAAAAUUCGUAUUCGUUAUAAUGUUAUUCGUGACUGAUCCACCAUGGACCACUUGAUGAAGUGGUCCAUAUUAGAAUAAACAAAGUGUUUCGUUUUGUGGAAACAUUUAGCCGUUUUACUUCAAGUCUUUUGUAGUAUGCUUACACUACACAAUACUCCCUCUAGUCCUUUACACAAAAGACACAUCUAUUGAUGCCUCUUAAGAAAAUAAUUGAUUUUUGAUACAUUAAUUUCAGUGUCUCAUACAUUAUGCGCUCUUGUCUAAGAAUAAAAUCAACCUUAGGUGAAGCCAUUAGGGCUGUUGAUCUUCGAUUAUGGUGGUGUGUGUUCUGCCGUAGUGGUUGUUUGAGGGAAUGUACCUAUAAAAAAUAUUUUAAUAGUUUAAACAUAAUAAUAUAGUAGAAGAGUAAAUUGGCCGGUCACGAGAUGAAAGAUACUCCCUCCAAUCUUAAAUAUAAGUAAAAGUCAAAAUAUAUUUAAUCUAAAUUUGAGCCAAAUAGGAAGUCAUGCUCUUAAUUUGUAUAGGAAGCGAAGAGAAGAGAGAUCCUUUAUGAAUCCUAUGUCUUUUGGUCAUGGGCAAUAAGAUCACAUAUUCAUUCAAUCGAUCCUACAUCUUAAAUAUAGUCAGUUUCUUCUAUUUAUACACAAUCAACUAUCUUUGCAUAGUAUCAGCUCGAUCUUAUGAAACAAGAUGCAACCAAACAUAGAUUCUAAGCAUCAAACCCGAAGAAUAAAGACACUCUAAAUGACUAUAAGCAGCCGGCCAAGAAAAGUACCUAUAAUGGAAAAUUGUGAUAAAUUAAAUACAUCAAACAUUCUAUAAACUAAAAAACAAAAAUUUGUUUAUAAUAAAGAUCGGAUAAAAUAUUUAAGACGGAAAGUCUAGUGAUAAAUUUUACCAUAAAAGUCAUUGAUUUACCACAAUUUUCCAUCAUAAUUUUAGUGAUAUUGAAACACACAAAGUUAUGGAGCUAGGACCCAUGAUGUAGUAUUAAGUUGAGCAAACCAAGAGGGGACCAAAAUGAUUGCUCACGUUCAGGUUUGGCUGAAAACGGGGCCGCACGAGACAACCCUACAAACAUACUGUCAGCUACUACAAAUCAUAGUAAUAGACUAUCCCAUGCCAUUGCCUUAGCUUGGCACUUCUUUCUAAGUUACUAGUACUAACAAGCAACAAACAAUCUUUGACCGAUUCCACCCAUUACAUUCGUGCAACAAGGGAGUCUCUAAAUAUCUAGGGUAGCCCAAUUUUAUCAUACUUAUCUACAAACUCGGAUUUGUUGCUAUUGAAAAACCACGCCGUAACUAAUCUCAUCCAUUGAUUUUAUAUCAGACGGUUUAUAUUAUAUAUACACUGAAAUCAUCCUAACCAUUGAUUACGAUCAUAAGAAAGGUUGCUGCUGUAACUGCGUUGAGUUACAACAGGAAAUCUGUUUCACUUAUCUAUUCCAUGUUUUUUUUUGUUUUAUACGGAAUUAGAUUGUGUGCAGUUACACUGAAUCAAUUAAAGACAUCUAGACUGUAUGAUCAAUAUUCGACGGUCAUAUUUUAAGGUCAAAUUUUAACUAUUUUAAAUAUAAAAUUCAAGAUAAAAAUAUAUAUUGUUUGAUCUUAAUCAAACGAUCUAGAUAUAACCGACUGCAGUGCAAUCAAUCUCUCUUUGACCGCGCUUAAUCCAGAUCCGUUUUAUAGACACCACUGACUACUCCUUAAUAAUUUGAUAAUAUUUAUCUAAUAGUUAACGAGAACAAGUCAAAUGCAUGAAAAGUAAAAGUUGAUUAAAAAAACUACUACUAAUUGUUAAUAUCACAUACAAAUCUAUUUGUAUGAAUUAUUUUAAUUAAUUAAAUACCCUUUAAAUUAUUAAGAGAUAUCGGAGUUCACAAAUUUUUUAAUCACAAGUAAGUACAACUAUGUUUGUCAAAAUGAAUUUGUGUAAUUGUGUCUAUCAUCUGAUUCAUUUCAUAUGGUUCUCUAUUCAGACUACAUGGAUUGGAACCACUAUACUAUAGUACUAUUAAUUAAAGUGUUUCAUAGGGGUACCACCAAAAGUAAUGCCCUCAUUCUCAUAUUACACAUGUUGUUUAGCCUCAUUAAAUUUUCAAAGGUUACAACAAACAAACAAUUGAUUCAAUUCUAAAUAUAAAAGUUGUUCACUUUUGUUUGGUCAAAUAUACUACGUACGUACAUCCCUAUUUAAAUAUAAACACUCAUUUGAUAAAAUAUUUGUUCGUAAAUAUAAUUGAAAUAUUUGAUUUAUAAUAUACAUUAGUUAUUAAAUUAAUUUAAAAAAUAAAUUAUUUCUUAUAAAAAGAUUGAAUGAAUAUCAUUAAGUAUUUUGGAAUAUGAAAAGGCAAGAUUAAUUAUAUACAUAUUCAAAGGAUAUUUUUAAUUUGGUAUAUUUAUACAUAAAUUAGACAUAUUAUUAACUACUAUACUACAAUUUUAUAUAUAUAUAUAUAUAUGGAGGGAGUAACGAUAACUAUAGGGUUGUUGAUAGAAGAUGAAUUUAUAGAAUAUAAUAGUAAGUUUGAUAUAAUUGAUACGUCGGCGGAACAAAUUCCAUAAAAUUAGUUGUUGAACUAAUCGAUAAAUAUAAAAUAACGUAAAAAUAUUUUUUUAAUUAAUAUUUAAUUUUUUAAUUAAGAUAAAAAAAAAAGGUAAAAUUAAGAAAAAAAAUGAUAAACUAUAAGAUCAAGUGUUACUUGAAGUAGCUUAUAAGAAAAUACUAUAAGUUUGUGAGAAAACAUUUGUUAUCAAACUGUUUGUCGUUCCUUUUUCUUUAUCGUUUUAAAAAAAAAAAAUUGUUUUAAAUUAUUUGUCGUUUUGAUAAUUUAAUGUUAUAUUUUGUCUAUUAUACCCUCAUAUAAAUUCCAAAUAUUUAGGAGUAGUUAUUGAAACCGUAAAAGAUUUAAUAUAUAUUUGAAAAACUAAAGUUAUUUUUUUUGGUACAUAACAUAUUAAUUUUUUUUGGUACAUAAUAUAUUAGAUUUAUUUAUUGGAAAGAUAAAGUGUGUGAAAAAAAAAUAAAAAGAAUUUAUUGGUGAAUUAAAAUAAGGGUAUAAUAGAAAGAUAAGGUGCAAAAAUACAAUUUUUUAAUUUAUUGUUUUUUUUUCUAAAAAGACAAAGAAAAAGGAACCGAGGAAGUAUGUUAUAAGCUUGAAAAUUUGUCUUGCCUAGAGCCUAAAUUAUGUCAUCUUUAUCUCAAUAAAACAAAGAUAAGGGUUAAAUAUGUUACAAAUAAAUAAAAUAAAAAAUCUCCAUUUAAAAUGAAAGGGAAAAGGAGGACCAACUUUUGCCACUCAUGUUUCUUAAAAAACUACACAUAUUUUCAAAAGUAUACUUCAAACAUCAUAUUUUGUUUGGAAGUGUACUCCCGAACAAAAUAUCUUCAAAUGUAAUUCUAGACAACACAAUAAUCAUGUUUUUUCCAUGAGUACAUCCGAAGUAAUGUUGAGAGCGUAGAAAGUUCCUCUGAGAGAAAAUGACGAACAGAGUCGACCAAAAUUCAAAAUUCAAAAUUCAAAGCUUGCGAUUUCCAGAGAAGAUAUUCUAUUAUUAUUUGCUCAUCAGUUGCAACUAUCUACAUUUGUAAAUCACAUCUCUAUACUACUUUGGCUGAGUAACUUCUGCAAAAUGUCACCGGCAGAACAUCAUGGGAAAAUGGGAAUUCCUCAUCAUAUAGCAAAAAUCUACAACAAAUAAAAAGGAGAAACUUCAUGCCUCUUGGUAGGACCAAUUUUAUGAGUACUACAGUACAAGUGAAAUAAGUAUAUGACAAAUUCCCUUGGCUUGUGCAUUUGGGUUGUGAAGAUGAAUACCAUGUCCUUCAUAAAGGUAGGAAAAAGUUUCCUUGUCCUACACUAGUAAUGGCAGCACUCAAAUAUCAAUGAAAAACCAAAUUUAUAUAAGGUAUAUCCCUUUGCCUGCCACUGUAUAUCAUGUGAGAUAUUACCACAGAGAAUGCUCAUAUGGACAAUGGCAGCCUUCUUUCCCUCUUCCUUGCCAAGGUAUGCCUAGAAGCUCUUAGGCGUAUGAGAAGUAAUAUACUGAAGCUUACAAUUAGAAGAAAAAUCCAAAAACGCCUCAAAUAAAGGGUCAUGCAGGAUAUGAUUGCAAGGAUGCAGAACACUAGAGCAAUAGAAAUUGCCACAGCAACAUCAACCCUGCAAGAAGUUAAGGAAAUUGUCAAACAUAAUAGCAUCAUGUCAUGUCCUAACCAUCAUGUAAGUCUGAUAAAACCAUCCCACAACAACAGACAAAAACCAAGCCUUAUGCCCUUAUUACACUAGGAGGGGUUGGCUACAAGGAUCAAACGACGCCAUAGUGUUUUAUCAUAAAUCAUAUAUGUAGUAAAACAGUUGAAUUUUCAUUCGCUCUACAUAGUUUCUUCUUUUUCUCGACCUUCAUCUGCCUCUAGUGAUUAAGCUACCCUUCAUCUGAUCUACUCUCCUAACUAAUUAUAGAGUCUACAUGCACAAACCAUCUAAGUCGAAAUUCAACCAUAUUUUCUACAAUAGGUGUCACCUCAACUCUCCCUCUAAUGCAUAACUCCUAAUCCUAUCGCGUCUAGUAUUUCUACACAACUGGCAGCACUACUACACUAAUUUUGCUCUAAUUUUGGCCUUUUACCACCCAGCACUCAAUCCCAUAAAACAUCACCGGCCCAACACUCAUAAAAAACACCAGCGACCCUCCUUAAUUCAACCAUCCCGUUUGACUCGAUGGUUUACACCUCCCCCUAUAUUUCCACCACUCUGUACAAUGGGAAUAAGAAUUUAAAUUGUGUGACUUGUGCUAUGGUCUCCAACUUCCAUCUCUAAGCUAGUGGAGCUUUGCCACAUAACCUGCAUAAAUCCUACCUGAAAUUGGAAAUCCAGUUUUGUAUUCUGCCAGCAAGUCUAACGUGUUUCUUUUAUAUAAUUUGUGUGAAUAGAGCUUCAUUGGUAAGUGCAAUAAGAUCUUGUACAAUGGAACUCAUGGUUAUACCCUUAGUCAACUAACAUGGAACAUCUUUCUCAAGUGAAAUUCCCCAUUGUAAGCAAGAGCAAAGGAAUGAAUUCAUGGUUGUCAUGUUGUGGAAUAAAAAUCUUCCAUAUCUUAUUGCAUGCACUAAAUUUAUUUGGAGGUAUUAGAAGUUAGAACAUAAUAUGAAAAUAAUCUCACCCUAAGAAACAUCAUAAUUUGGUUUAUACAGAGCAACAAUGUCAUCAACAAAUUAAAUAAAAUAAACAUGAAAGUAGAAGGCAUAGUAUAGUGUACCCAAGUCAUAAAUUUUAACAUUCAAAUAGAACACAGAUCAGCUUAAAUGAUUACAUAUCGACUUACAAACUAGCUUGACCACAAAGAACAUCUAAUGGUUGCAUCUCUCUAUUAGGUAAUAAAUAAAUAGAGAGGUUCAACAGCAUGUAUCUAUAUUUUUAUGCAUCCUGAAUAACUCCUUAACCUAAAAGCACAAAAUGCCUAAAAAGAUUAUAUAAUAUGUAAAAAAUGGGGAUGGGUGUUUCAGCAUAUUUUCUACUACCUCGAAUCGUGACCAUAGUGUAGGUAGGUGUUAUGCUUAUGGCAUAUUCAUUUGCAAGCAGAAAAUGGGGAUGGGUGUUUCAGCAUAUUUUCUACUACCUCGAAUCUUGACCAUAGUGUAGGUAGGUGUUAUGCUUAUGGCAUAUUCAUUUGUGAGCAGAAAACUCAAGAUAGCAUGGCAUUCAGAUGCCCAGGUCUGAAAGUGACUCAAUGUACACAAUUCCUAUCUUUUCCUGUCAAUGAUAUGUCCCUCAAUGUCAAUAAUUUACACGAACAAUCGAAUUCUGGAGGGUAUUAAAAACUAACUGGAACAGUUUUUUUCCUCAAAAAAAUUGGGGAAGGGGUAAUUAAUAUUAAUUAAAGUGGCACUAAUGACCAUUUUACUACCGUCAACCGUGCCCAAAGAGAUAUGAACUUCGUCCCUUGAAGUUACAAGAAAAAAAACUCUUACAACAGAGCUAGCACUACAUUUACAACUAACUGGGACAUUGAAUUAUCAUACAAAUGCUAUGUUACUUGUUACAUGAUCCCAAAACCCAAUCCAAAAACUAUCAAUCUUUUCUACACAUACAAAUACCGAAGAUAACAGCUACAAUACAACAAGUGCACUAAAUAGCUUCAAGAUAACCCGACACUAGUUGACAAUGGAAGUGGAUUGUGAUCCAAGGAGAACUUUACCUGCAGUCUGAAGAGUUCAGAUCCUAGAGCAACAAUAGCUUUAUCUAACACUACCCGAUCUUAAGGUUAGUCUAACAUAUAGUCACAAAAUUAUGCCUAUACGGGAUACCCUUUUAAAGAAACAACAAACAAGCAUUUUCCCACUAGGUGAAGUAUUCCUAGAUAUCCCAUUCCUUUACCUAUCAGGCUUCAACAUUAGCAGGUAGUAGCAUUUCAUUAGUAAUUCUUCUAAAAAGUGAAAAGCUAGCUGAUUCACCUAUUUUUAAAAGGAAGAUGGUAAAGCACUAACAAUCUCUUGUUGUUUAUCACUUUCAAUAUACGAAGCACUGACAAAUGUAGUUACAUUUAAUUACUUCAAUUUUCUCAAAUUAUUACCGGUGUCGACCUGUCAAUGUCAUGUCAGGAUAAGUGCUUUAUAGAUUUCAAUAAAAUUUGCAAAACAAUCUAUUCAAGUAGUGGUCACGACACAAUGCUAUUCAUAUUCUACAGUCAAGAUAAACCCCAAAUACAAUAAACAGUUGUGAAUUAAAAUUGUGAAAGAAUGAAAUGGUAUAAAAGUGAGAGGAAAAGGAGGAGUUAAUAAUUUACCAAGUAAUGAUAUGGGGUUUUGGAGAGAAGAAAGUGAGCGAAGAGUAUUUGUGCUGAGAUCGGAUCUGGUAAUCUCUGAGCUGCUCAACAAGUUUAGAACGGGUUAUCAUCUCAAGGAACCAAAGGGUAUCAAAAACCCCUUUUAACAACUCCACUCGCAACCUCAAACAAACCGUGUCUGUCUCAGAUCAUACAGAUGUUACAGCCAAUGCCAACAUAAACACAACCCGUUCACAGUUCCUGCUGUGCAAAUCCGAGAGUGUCUUCGUGUUUUAGCGGAUGAAUGAAUGAACAGAAAAAAAAACCCCAAAAAAGUCAAAACCCAGUUAUUAUAACUUAAUCUAAAAUUUAAUGUUUGUCCAAAAACAAUCUAAAAUUUAAUGUCUAUUUUUCUUGUAUUUGUGUGUGUGUGUGUAAACAGUUAUAUGUUAAAACUUUCAAAUAUAUUGCAAUAUACCUUUGAAUUUUAAAAAAUACAUUUUAAAUUAAUAAAUUAAAUAUUAAAUUUUUUGUCAAGAACAUCAGAGGAUUUAAUAUAUGAUGAUAGAUUAUUGUAUGUCAAAAGUAGCAUAUAUCUUCCAUUGUCGUCCAGCGGUUAGGAUAUCUGGCUUUCACCCAGGAGACCCGGGUUCGAUUCCCGGCAAUGGAACUUUUUGUGUUUUUUAGCUAGCUAAUACCAUGGAACCAAACCAAUUGGGGCAACAAAGGAAUAUAGUGUGUAACAUCCUCCAAACCAGGCUUAAAUUAAUUAAAGUAGCUUAUAAAUCAAAACCAACUAUGUACAAAGGAAUGAUAAUGCAAAAUAUCUAAGUCGUAUAGGCCUUUCGAUGGGUGUGUGUCUAGUAGCGACUGUUUUUCUUUUUGGCUUAUAAUUUGAACAAACCACUAUUUUCUGCAAUCCCCGAUUAAGAAAAUUGGUUAAAUCAAAAGGAUAACUGGAACAGAACUAGAACGAAGAUUUGAAUGCCAUAUUUAGGAUUUUGGUAUUAUGUGCCUUUCUAUAGCUUAAAAAUACAGUUGCCACUCCAACUACCUAUAAAGCUCACAACAGAUGUAUCUUUUCUUCAGCUACUUAUUUUAUCUGAGAAUCAAUGUUAUGCUUAUGCACACUGAAUAACUAUUCAAUCUAAGAGUACAUGCUUAUAAACUUAUAUUGGAGCAUAUUUUCUUCUACAUCCUUUAAUUUAGACCAUAGCGUAGGUAGAUGUUAUGCUUAUGGUAUAUAUAUUUGCUAGCAGAAAACUCAAGAUAGCAUGGCAUUUAGAUGCCCAGGUCUGAAAGUGAAUCAAUGCACACGAUUCCUAUCUUUUUCCCUCAAUGAUAUGUCCCUCGAUGUUAAUAAUUUACACGGCCCCAAGGAGAUACACGAUCAAAUUCUAGAGGUAUUGAAAACUAGCUGGGACAUUGCAUACAAUAUGCAGGGAUUGGGGUUCGAACUAUGGUACACCCACUUAUUCACCUUAAAAAGGUGGAUUUCUAGCCACUAGGCUACUUGACCAAAAAAAAAACUAGUUGGGACAUUGAAUUAUCCUACAUUUGUUAUAUAGCAUGAUCGCAUAAUGCAAUCCAUAAAAUAUCAAAUUUUUCUACAAGCACUGAAGUUGACAACUAAAACAAGUGCAUUAACUACAUUCAAGAUAACCCAACACUAGUUGAUCUCAAUGGAAGUAUAUUAUGAUCCUAGGAGAACUUUAAACCUGCAACCAGAAGAGUUCAAAUCCUAGAGUAACGAUAGCUUUAUCUAACACUACCCUGUCUCAAGGUUAGUCUUACAUAUAAUCACAACUACGCCUGUAGGGAUACCCUUUUAAAGAAACAACAACAACAACAAACAAGCCUUUUCCCACCGGGCAAAGCACUUCUAGAUAUCUAAUUCCUUUACCUAACUAACACAAUUCAACCUUAUCAGGUAGCAUUUCAUUAGAAUUCUUCUAAAAAUAAAAGAAAUCUAAUUAACCUACUUUGAAAAAAGGAAAAUGGUGAAUGGCUAACAAUCUCUUGUUGUUUAUCACUUUCGGUAGACACUUCAGAUCGAAGACGUGUCAGACUGUCCGGUGUCCAAUACGACACUAAUACACGUGAUUACAUUCAGUUACUUUUAUUUUCUCAAAUUACUACUUCUAUCAAAAUGUCAAUGUCUGUGUCAGAGCUUCGUAGCUUUCAAUAAAAACUAGCAAAACAAUAUAUUCAAGUAGUGAACCAAGUGACUAGGCUCAUGUUAAGAAUAAUGAUGAUUAGUUAGAAAUUCAAUUAGUUUGUUAGUUUAUUAUUAGGUAGUUAGUUAGUUAAGCCUCUAAUAGCUCUAUAUAAGAACACCUCAUUUUACCAUCUUUUAUUAUCAAAAUGAAAUCUUAUGAUUUUUACUCUCUUUCUAACCUCCUACUAUUCAAUUUCUCCAAAUUCUCAAAAUCUUAACAGCUCAGGUGGUUAAUAAACUCCCCCUAGGACGAAUCUAUCAGGAGAACCCGAGGUGGUAGAAACAAUUGUUGACCAAACUUUACUUAUCUCGAGGCCGAACUCCAGAUUACCAGAACCCAUUUCUCUAGGAACCAAAUGAUUAAUACACAAAAAGAAAAAAAACAUAUUCAAGCAGUGGUCACAACACAACACAAUGCAAUUGAUAUGAUAAGAAUUGUGAAUGAAAAUGGUGAGAGACUAAAAAGAAAGAAAGGAGUUAAUUAGUUACCUACCAAGUAAUGAUAUGGGGUUUGGGAGAGAAGAAAGUGAGUGAAGAAUAUUUAUGCUGAGAUCGGAUCUGAUAAUCUCUGAGCUGUUCAACAAGUUUUGAACGAGUUAUCAUCUCAAAUCAAUAAAUUCUCAAAGAACAACCAAAGGGUAUCAUCAAACAAACAAACAAACAAACCGUGUCUCUGUCUCUCUCAGAUCAGAUCAUACAGAUUAUGAUUAUGAUGUUACUGUCACUGCCAACGUCAAACACAAUUCAUUAAGGAACGGCUGCUGCAAUGUAUAUGUAUAUCAGAGAGAGUGUGUGUCUUCGAUGAACAGAAAAGAAGAAACCCACAAAAAUCAAAACCCAGUUAUUAUUAAUAUAAAACAAGUUUUGUUGUGCCUUCUUUUAUGUUUCUAAAUAAUAUUGCGAUUUGAGAAUAAUAAACACAACUUCCAUUGUCGUCCAGCGGUUAGGAUAUCUGGCUUUCACCCAGGAGACCCGGGUUCGAUUCCCGGCAAUGGAAUUCUUUUUGUUUUUUAGUUGACUUCCAUUGAACCAAAUCAAUUGGGCUUCAUCGCACUACACUUAAAUUAAUUUAAGAGAUUUACUUUUUGUCCGCUACAAACACCUUAUCAAAUUUGUUUUUUUAUAAUGUCCGGGACAAAAGUAAAUCUCAUUAAUUAAAGUAGAAAUGGCUUAAUUUAGUUUUUAUUUAAGAAAAAAAUGUUGGAUUAUUUUUGGUCAAGUAAAAAAAAUUACUCUCUCCGUCUCAAAAAGAUUGUCUUUUAAGGUUGUUCACACAUAUUAAGAAAUGUAAUGAUGUUGUUAAAAGAAAUAAUAUUUUUACUAAAUUACCCCUAUUAGUUAUAAGUUUGUUUCCUUGGGAAUAAUGCAUAUAAUAAUUAUUAAGGGGUACAAUUGGAAAGUAUUACGUUAAAAAGUGAUGACAAUUAUUUUGAGACAAAAUUUUAUUCUUAAAGUGACAAUUAUUUUGGGACGGAGGGAGUAAAAAAAUUAUUGAGGAAAGUUAAGCGAAAGGAAUGGUAAUGCAGAAGUGUUUAUUGAGGAAAGUUAAGCGAAAGGAAUGGGGAGUUGACUUUGUGUGCAAACUAUGAUGGGGUCUCCGAAUCGGAAAACCAUGUUCUUCUUACUUGCAUGAUAGCAUGGGAGGUGUGGACUAAGGUGCACCGAUGGUUUAGGUUGAUCACAGUCUUGCCAGAUAGCAUUUCUUCUAUGUUCGUAAGCUUCUUAGCGUCAUUCAGAAAAGGGAAGCAAGGUUCAAAGGGAGUGUUAUUGGUUUGGCCCGCAGUAGUUUAGGUGCUUUGGAGAGCUCGAAAUGAAAGGAUCUUUAAUUCAAAAGUUUUGACCGUGGAUGACAUUUUUGAAACAGUUAAACAUGUAUCGUGGAGUUGGUUAUUGUCUAGGAAGGUUAACUCGCCUUGUUUAAUUUAUGAAUGACUUGUUGAUCUCGGGGACAGUAUUGUCCGGUAGUUGGUGGGUGGGGGCUUGUUUUUGUUUUUGUUAUGGUUGGGUAAAGUAUUUCAUGUACUUUCUCUACGGAGAUGGAUUAAGUACCUCUUGUGCUUUUUCCUUUUCUUUAUAUAGUAUAUAAUACAUAUUUUUGCUGUAAAAAAAAGUGUUCAGAUGAAAUGACACGGUUUUAACUUAGACAUACAUCCGCGUUAAAACUUUUAGGAAGAGUUAGCCGCUCAUUUGAGUCUCACAAAACUCGAAGAAUUAGUCUAUGCAAUUGUACGCAUAAGAUAUAGGCCAAAAAAUAAAAGCAUACUAAAAUUAGUAAAUAAUUUGGAAGUACUAACUAGCUAGUAGUGGUUGUAUUUCUUUUUGGGUUAUAUAAUGAUAAAAAGACAUAAUCACAAAGAAAAGAAAUUAUAGAAUUAUAAGUCAAAAUGUUGCAAUAUAAAUGUUCUCUAAUAUUGUAUAUACUUUUUUAAGGAAAUAUUAAUGAUUAAUGGACACAAGAAAAGAUAGAAGAUCAUUAUAAACUAUAAACAUUAAUAAGCUAACAACACAUUUUUUUAACUUGGUUAGCCAUGUUUUUUGGGAUAUAACUAUGUUAAUGGUUAUCCAAAAUUUUGUAGGUGCAUAAUGAUUUUUCUAUGUAUUUUUAAUGGAUGUUUUUAUGGUAUUUUUUCAGAAUGUUUUAGUAAUUUUUUAUUGAAAAAUAAAUAAGAUAAUCUUCAAUAAUAAAUAAUUAAUGAUGUGAAUAAUUAUAAUAAUAAUAAUAAUAAUAAUAAUAAUAAUAUAACACAUCAGCAUUGCCACAUAAGUAAAUAUGAGUCAAAUAUUAUAUGGGGUAAAAUUCAAAGAAUUAUAAAAUAAUAGGGCUAAAAUUCUGAAUUUUAAAAUAUGGGGUAAAAUUCCGAUUAAAUCAAAAUAGGGUAAAACUGCAUUUAAGCCAAAUUUACAUAAGCCACAUAUAAAUUUGAUGAAACUCUUGAUUUUUGACAAAUAGAAAAGAGUUGUUGCAAUGUGUAUGUUAGAUAGAGUAUUAUUAGGUUGAUAUAAGAAAACAUUUGCUUAUUUGUCAAAAAAAAAAAAAAGCAUUUGCUUAAUGACAUUGAACACAUUUUGGCACCAUGAAUGUCACCCCAAGCCAACGAUGGCUUAAUCAAAGAGGACAGCCCCUAUGCAGUCUGUGUGAAAAGAUAAGAUCAAACACCAUUGUUGAAUAACUAGAAGAAAGAAUAUGCAGAAGCAAGAAUUGUGCACAGAGCUUAGGCGUGGUUUGAGCCUAAAGCUCGUAGAGAAAAUGCAUUACUCGCAAAAAUGAAAAACUUACAAUGUGGUUCACUGAUUUAUACAAUGUAAAGAUAAGCCUUAAUCUACCUAACUAGUGGUUACAAGGAACUAACAAAAAACUAAUCCUAACCAACUAUGAGACAAAGUAGUUGUGGAAGUUAGAUGACUUGGGAGGCAAGUAAUCCUUUCACUCCUUGCUUUCAGCUUUAACAGUCUGCACAUAUGAUGUAUAGCCGUAUAGGUAAACCGAUAAGGGAGCCCCUUGACGGAGGCGUUUUUAGAGUGGAUAAGUCCUACCAAAUUUUAAUAUCAUCUGAAAUAACUUUGGUACAUCUUGCAUAUCUAAAUUACUUGUCAUCUAUAUAAUGUUAUAAAGUUGUACAUAUUUGAAUUACCAUAAUGUUAGUUUACUUGUUGAUUUUAAUGUAUUUGUAUUAUAAGAUCAUAUUCAUAAGCAAAAUUGUAUGUUUUGAGAUUAGCAAUUUAUGACUAGCUAGCUUUGAGUAUAUCAGAUUAUCAGUUUGUACCAAGUGUAAAAAGGUUUUCAUUCUGCAUCAACAUUAAAUCUUACCUGUUAAACCAUAAUUUUCAUUGUACAAACAAGAUAUAGAAAAUGAAAAUUCUUUAGAAACCAAAUAAGAACACAUAAUAACAAUAUUUAGAUGGCAAAGAAUAUAAUACAGUCAUUUUGGCUAAAAUGACAAAUAGGUGACCAUUUUUGUCAAACCCCAUAUUUUUUCCCAUGGUGGCAGAUAUUGUCAAACCCCAUAUAAUCUUCAUUUUCCAUCUUCUCAACCAUGUUCACUAUUCCCACCCCACCUGUGAAACCCAAAAAAGUAGACAUUGUUAGUAUAUGUUUAAAGAAACUAAUCACAAGAAAAUGAAAUGAUGGAACAAAAUAAAAUUAAAGUGAGAAUAAUGUUGAUACACUUUUUUUACCCUUAUUUUCUGGUUAAAAGUAUGAGAAGUUUUUAUUAAAAAAGGGUGGAUGUGGAUGUGGAUGUGAUGAUAAAUGUAAAAAACGAAGUUUAAUUUUGAUACAUAGUCAGCGCAAAAAGUUUAUACUGUCAACAAAUGGCAAAUAUUCAUAUAUGUGACCUUAGACGUAGUUUUGAUUGAGGUCAAACAAUUUUUAUGAUCAGAUGACUAUGAUUGAAUAUUGACUGACAGCAUUUUUGCACUGACUGUGUAUAUGAAGUAAAUCCAUGAAAAAACACACUUAAAAUAAUAGAAAGUACCUAAACUGAUUGCGCUCACAAAAAUGGUGAAGGCUAAUAUGAAGACAAUGAUAGAUGCUCUACCAAAGAUGGCAAUUAUCUUUCUCACCACAUGUUGACCAGUUAAUGCAGCUAUGGUUGCAACCAAAACUAAGUACGAAGCUGCAUCAAAACAUGAAUCACUUUACUUUCAACACAAUUUUAAUCAAAUCAAUUUUACAAAAUCGUGUUUACAUUCACAUAUUGCGUCUUACCAUAGGGUACUGGGAAGCGAUCUAGAAGGUAAUAUUGUACCACUGACAUGGAGGAAGAGAAAACCAUAGCAAAUGUUGAUGUAGCACUAGCUACCUGCCAUAGAGGAAAAACAAUCAUCAAGACUAAAUAUUAGUAAAUCAACAAGUGCACGUGUUCAUGGUUUGCUUCAACGGUUCGGUAAAACUGAACUGAACCGUUAAAGGCAAAGAAUGAUUUUUUUUAAUCUAUGUGAAAAAACGUUAAACGACACUUAUUUUGAAAUGACGGAAUGAAUUUGUACCUGAGGAGGAAUUCCUAAUUCCAAAAAUAGUGGUCCCAAAAUGAAGCCACCUCCUAGGCCAAGCAAACCACUAACCAUACCAGCUAUUAUUCCACAGAAACAGUAAAGACAAAUCUUAUGAAACUUCCAAUUAAUUUCCUUUCCCCUUGAUGAAAUUACUCUAGUUCCUUUGCAUAAGCAUAUGGCUUCAAAAAGUGUAACAGAAAUUGCAAUAGGCACCUUAAAGUGAUAAAUAGCACACCAAAUUUCAGUUAGACCUUGCAGAGAAAUAGUAUUAUGUCAGCUCCAAUCAAGAUAUGUAUUUUAGUUCAAAAAACUAAUAGAUUUUUUAAAAAGAUUUAAUUAAUAUACAUUUUUUGCACUCUAAAUCAAUCAUAAUUGUCCGAUCGUUAAAAACAUUAGACUUCAAUCAUUAAUACUACUUCAGCUUAAUUAUAAGCAAAAAUUUACUUUUCAAAUUCAUUGAUCAGCUGAUGUAUCUUGUCUAUAUUAUAGACAAGAUACAUCAGUUGUUCAAUGAAUCUUAAAAGUAGACUUUUAAAGUCAUACAUGAUUGGUUGUGAUUUGUUGACUGUGUAAAUUUUUUUACACAGAAAGUUAUUUGCUUCUAAAGUUUUUUUUAAUACAAAUGUUCCUAUGUAGGAUAAAUCCUUAUGUGCACUAUAUCAAAAUUUAGGUCUUUUUAUAUGCAACUAGAUUUCAUAGCUAAAUACAUAUCAUGUGUAUUAGUAUCCAAAUUAUAUAUAUUUAUAGAAUAUUUACCUGCAAGGAAUUAAGAAUCCAAUACUCUAUGGAACAAGUUUUGCUGUAUGUCUGCAUUGAAAUACAUAGGUACGUAUUUAGUUAAAAACACACAAGAUGGUUAUUUUUAACUAAUGAAUCAAAGAAAAAAAAAUCAAAUAUUAACUACCUUAAUAAUUUGAACAAUGAGAAAAGCCACCCAAACAUACAGAAGAACUGAUAAUUCUUUCCAGUAAAUGUUGUCUAGUAAAGGAACCUGCACACAAAAAUUUAACAUAUUGUUUAAAUUUAGAUAGAACUUCAAUGAACUUGCUAUAAAGAAUGAUUUUGAAAACCAUUGGAAUUAACUGCGAAACACGAACACUUCUCGGAUUAGGCAUUUCCAAGUGUCGGACACGCGUUGGUGUCGGACACCGACACGACACCGACACUUAUAAUUACAUUGAAUUGUGUCAUUUUCUCAAAUUAUUAUCAGUGUCGUGUCUAGUGUUUGUGUCCGUACUUCAUAGGGAAUUAAUUACCUCUUCAUCUUGUAGAUCAGCUGGUAGUGACUUGUAGUCUUCUUCAGAAGCAUCUGAAAUAAGAUAUAAAUGCAUUAGUGUUUCAAAAGUAAUUAAUAUCAAACUUUCUUAAGCAUAUGCAGUAUCAAAUAUUCAUAUACAUAUAGUAAAUGAAAGGUUUUUUUUUAAUAUUAUAUAAGAAAGUUUGAAGGCACAUACAAUCAGGAGUAGAACCUGAUUCCAACAUUUGAGCUGCUUCCUGAAAGAUCAAUAGCAUAAUACUCUUACUAUAGAGUAGAAGGCAAUGAAAAUUGAAAUAAAAAAUUUGUAACUAUAUAAAGUUUACCUUCUUCAUAAUUGUUUCUUUUUUCCAUGUGUCAAUUCCUUUGACUAAAGCUUUAGUGGAUGUACCUAUCACCAUGUGUUGCAUCAUUUGGAUAUUAGAUUUUAAAAAAUGAAUUUGGAUUGUCUGCAUUUAGCAAUCUCAUGCAUUCACACAAUCAGUACAUCAGUGGUUAUUUGGUCGAGAUUAAACGGUCAAUAUUCCAAUUGAUUUUUUAAAAAAAAUAAUCUAAAAUACCGAACUUGAAAGUUGGUCCGACAAAUCUCAACUUCACGGCCACUGAUGUACGGACUAUGUGAAUGAGUGAGAAUAUUAUUAUGAUGCUAAACUGAUAAUGAUGAUUACCAAUGAAUAGAAUGAUAAGCAAAAUGGUGACCAUCCAAUCAGCAAACAUGACAUUAAAUGCAACACCAAUGCUUAUUCCUAGCAUUAGCAUAGGUUGGAAGAGCAAAGCAAGAUCAUAAUCUAUAAGUGGCAUGUCUAGUGUUGGAUGUCUAAGCCUUAGAUUGUAAUACACUGUUGACCCUGCUGCUCCUGUAAUCAUACCUGCAAUAACAGCCAAAUAUGAAAAAUCUAGAAAUUUAAUCAAGUUGCAUAACACCAAACUAAUAUAUCUUCAUGCUAAUUGAGAAAAAAGUGAGUUCUGAUAUAUAAGAAACUAUAUUUCUUGCUUUAUUAGUUAAGUUAGUUAUGUCUCACGGACAAGAUAACAAUGUUUAGGAUGCAUAUGGAUUUCUUAUUAACAGCUUAUUUAGGCUUAGAUACUACAAUAAGCACUUUUCACAGUAUUUGAAAAACUUAUGGAAAAAAAUUUAUGACUUGGUUAUAAGUUGUUUUCGGUUAAUUUCAAUAAGCCCUCAAAGAUUAUGAUAAGGGCUUACAACUUAUAUGAAACAGUUUAACCAAAACAUUUCUUUAAUUAUAUAAAUAGCAAACAUAUAUGCAGUAAAUUAAACUCUCUACACCAACAUGGUGCGAGAUAAUUAAGUGGUAGAUGUUUGGUCCCUUGACCAUUUGAUCAGGGGUUCGACCUCUAGUCGGUUCAAUCCCUUAACCAUUAGUAUCCAGUAUCCACAGUUGCACACGAAAGAUAUCUUGGGCUCUUGGCUUAUUAUAAAAAUCUAUUCCAAAAGAAUCCUUGAUUAUUGCUUAGUUAUUUGGAUCAAUAAGAAGUGACCUAUGCAUGUCAUGGCUAGGUUUUACUUUAUAUGUAGCAGGAAUGAAUAAACAGAAAAUAGAAAUAUACUAACACUUAGAGAGGGCUGUAGAAGACUUUGGAUCAAAACCAAUGAUCAAAGUAAGCAUAGGGACAAAAAUUCCUCCACCUCCUACCCCUCCUACACUUCCCAAUGCAGCUCCAAAAAAUCCAACAAUAGACCCUACUACAAUUCUCCAACCAAAAUUCAUUUCCUGUCCAACAAAACCAUUGCAAUGCAUCAAUUUCAUGAAAUCAUGUCAAUAUUAUAUAAAAAUUUAUUUCAUAUACACUGUCAGUGUAAAGAUCUUUUACUUUGUCAAUCGAUCAUAAUCAUCAUAUCAUUAAAAAUGUGACUUUAAUAAUAACAACUUUUAAAGUCACGCGUAUAACUGAUUGUGACUUACUGAUAAUGUAUAACUUGUACACCGACAAACAAUGUAUCAAACUUAAAUGACGUAAACAAGCAAAAACAUAACAAAAGUAUCAAAAUGUUUUUUGAUUAUAAACUCACAGGCCAAACACGUUCAUAGGAAGACUUCCCACUAUACCAGAAGAAAUGUCUUUCUUUAAUAACACCAUUUUCUGAUUUUUUUUCUUCCAAAACACUUUCUGCUAAACUGACAUGAUAGAUCGUAAUAAGACUCCACGAGAUUAGCCAUAUAAUCAUUGUUGCUGCUCGUGAUGUUGUCUUAUUUGUAGCUACUAAAGCCAUGUAUGAACAGUUUGAAGCAAGAUAUAGAUAAGAAACUUAUGAUAUAAAUGUUUUGGUAUUUCUUUUCUAACUCAAUAUUUUUAAAUGCUGGUUAUUUUAUGUGUAUGUUUGAGAAUGGAAAGUAAGGACUAGGAAACUAGUGCAUUCCUUAUAUAACUAAAGACACAUUUUCUCUAUUUCUCAUUUCUAGCAUCGGUUUCAAAAUAUUCUCUUUGAGAUAUGUAUGUACUAGCAUACCAUUAGCAACAUUUUGUUUGACAUUUUGCAAAUCAAGUUGUUUCCUGUUUUUUACUGUGCUACAAGUAUUCUUGGUACAUCUUAAUAGUUUUGGUACAAUUGAAGGCUCCAGAAUUUUGACCCUAGAACUAGAAUGUCCAAUUGCAUCAAGGUAAAUCUUAAACUGGUCCUAACUCAACCUUACAAAACCGGCUUAUAAGGUGAUGAUUGCCCUCACUUAUAUAUAAACACAUAUUCAGGUCAUCUCGCACUUCUUAACACACCCCGAUAGCGGAUAUAAACGGUGGGUGGCCCGAUAACGGAAACCUGAUAGCAGGUGGCCUAGCGGAUCGUGGAGGAGGCUCUCAUACCAUCUUAAAUUGAGUUUAACUCAACCUUACAAAACUGAUUUGUAAGACGAGGAUUGCCCUCACUUAUAAACACUAGAUUUCUUAACUGCAAUUUAUACGUAAGUUUAGAAUUAUAUUGUCGGUAGGUUAUAUAUAUUUAGGGGGGGAUCAAAUUACACCGGUGUAACAUUUGAGUAAUGUUACACCGUUCAAUAACGCUUCAACGAAUACAAAUUUUAUAAAAUUUACCGUUGGAUUGAAAAUUUAUAUCAUAGAGAUCAUUCGUGUUAAAUUUUAGAAAAAUCUAAAAUCGUUUGAUAUGUUAUUGAGAUUGAUCCAGCUUAACGGUAUUCAAUAAAAACACAUAAAGCGUAAAUCUUGAUCGGUCUCAAUAACAUAUCAAAAGAUUUUAGAUUUUUGUAAAAUUGAACAUGAAUAAUCUAUAUGAUAUAAAAUUUCAAUCUAACAGUGGAUUUUGUAAAAUUUGUAUUCGUUAAAGCGUUAUUGAGCGGUGUAACAUUUGAGUAAUGCUACACCGGUGUAAUUUGAUCCCUUCCCAUAUAUAUAUAUUUUACUUUCACCACUAGUUUAGUCUAGUUUCGGAGUCAGUUCUGACAUCAAGUGGUUCCAGCCCACAUCCGAUCACAGUUGCGGGGAUCGAAGGUAGGUUAUAUAUUUUAAAACAGUUUUUACUGUGAGGGAGAAUCGAAUGACUAUCUGAUAUUACAUAUAUUAAAUUUUAUGUCACCAUAAUAUUACUUUAGUUCUUAAAAUGUUUUUGUUCAAAUUAAGUUACAUUACAUGUUCACAAUAUGAGUAGAGUAUAAACAUGGCAAAUAGACACAACAAGUCACUCAGCAAUGAAUUAUCAAUGAUGAGAUAAAGCAGCUUACAAAAGGACAAAUUUUAACAGCCGUAUACCUUCAAAACUAGUGAGACUAAAAAUCCUAAAGAGUUUUAGGAAGCUUCAUGGAAGAAACAUUUGGAAGCACUAAAACACCAAGCUUCAUGUUGUAGCGUUCAUUCGAAGAUAUAAUAGUACCUAAUCCAAUAGCACAUGGAAACUUCACGGUAAUUUCAUUUGUUUGCUUUUAUUUUCUUAACUUUUAAUCACUCGCAUUAACACGAACAGCACAAAAAUAGGACUGUAGUACCACACACACUAUCAUUUAUGUCUCUCUAAAUGUGUUUGAUUUGAUAAAAAAAUAACGAACACAACUACAAGUGUACUGUAAUUUUAAAACUGUUCUUAAAAGUGAGUAAAAUGGAAGACAAAAGACCGGAUAAAAACUUAAAUCUUUGAUCUUUGCUCCUCGCUAAGCACUUUUUUGUUUUUUGUUUUCUGUUGAGUAUAUAUUGUUUAAACUUUAAAGUGCCAAUAUAACUGUUUUUUCCACCAAACAUCGUUGUUCUGUCUAAUAUUUACCUUUUACAAAUAAAAAACUCAGAUGAUUAUUAUAUAACCUUUUUUUUUUUCAAAUAUUAAGUGUUGAAACUAAUAAGCUGCAAUAAAAGAGCACAGAGGUAUAGUUAAUGUAGCAUUUGCUUCUAUAAAUAUAUGGAACUGGAGCCAAUAUAAGAGAGGAACUCAAAAAAAAAAAAUCAUUAGUUUGUUUGCCAGAUAAGCAAAAGCAUUUGCAAGCAAAACCUGUGCAUACACAACCAGAAAUUGGCUUGCAAAUCCUCCAUCAAAUAAUAGCAGUUAUUCUAUCACACUCUAACAUACUACCCUCAGCAGAUAUUUUAAAAAAAAAUUAUGAGCUGCAUGAAAUUUAUGCAAGACUGCAUAAUUUAGUAAACUUAGUAAAAUACAUUAAAUUCUCAACCAAUAAAAUAAUUAAUUUGCUUUUCUGGACCCAUAAAAAAAAGGAGUAAUUAAAAAUGCAAUGUUAACAGUUCCCCAUAAUUUAAAAUAAUAGAGCUUUGCCAAAAUGGUGCAACAUACUGGAUAUUACUAUAAAUGUCAAAAAAUAAAAAAUAAAAUAAAAAAACCUUGAAAAAUCAUCAUUCCAUAAUAAUUAAACUAUAUUUUCCGGUUAUUUUGGUGAAUAAGUGUUAAAAGCUUUUAAGUUUUUUUUGACAAGCUUCAAAGUUUUGACUAACGGCGCAAUCGCAUGCGCUACUUUCAGAAAACCAAAUAUUCAUAUUAAAAUGCUUGCCUUACAAAAAUGUUGCUUUACAGCACCUAAGAAAAGCUGGAUUCUUAAGGACUCACCCACAUUAUAAAUUGAAAAAACAUUAUGAUCAACAUUUUAAGCAAGAAUAACACUAUCCAGCAUCUUAGAACAAUUGUAAGUAGAAAUGCCAAAGCAAAAAUUGGCACCAACACAAAGGAAUGAACAGAGGAAAAAUCUUGAAAUUUAAGUUUGUACAGUCAAUCAUUAUGCUUCAUCAUUUUCCAGUUUAAGAAAAUAAAUCACUGAUGAUAGACCUUCAUUACUCAAUAUCUAAUAAGGGUCUAGUAAGCUAACUUCUUAAUAUAAGCAACACUUAACAAACUCAAGUACCAAAGAUAAAGUAAAAUCAAGACAAUAGUUCCCACAAAAUCUGAAGGGGAAAAAAACGUUUCUUAAUGUCUAAGAAAACAAAACCAACAAUAACCAACAUUAACAGUCCACGACCAUACUGAAAAACUGAGAUCACCGAAGCUGCAGUUCUAAGCUUUCAACAUCAAACAUGAAAAACAGCAUGUAAAUUCGGGUAGCUGAGCAGUAAGUUNNNNNNNNNNNNNNNNNNNNNNNNNNNNNNNNNNNNNNNNNNNNNNNNNNNNNNNNNNNNNNNNNNNNNNNNNNNNNNNNNNNNNNNNNNNNNNNNNNNNNNNNNNNNNNNNNNNNNNNNNNNNNNNNNNNNNNNNNNNNNNNNNNNNNNNNNNNNNNNNNNNNNNNNNNNNNNNNNNNNNNNNCUUUCAACAUCAAACAUGAAAAACAGCAAGUAAAUUCGGGUAGCUGAGCAGUAAGUUCUUUUGUUGUGCUUUGAUCACAUCGUGCCUGAAUCCAUUGGCAUCUACUAAGAACCAAUCUUAGAAUAUAUAAGCCAGAAUGACACCAAGAUUCAACAAUAACCAAAUAGAAUACAAAAAUGGACACCAUGAAUCUUACCAGA